AAGAUUUGGAGUUGGUGAUCAUCAUCAUCAUCAAGAUCAUAAUAAUAAUAAUCUUGAUCAGAUGAAACAAGAAAUUACUUGCUCACAAAAUAGUAAGAGUUUGGAUUUUUAUGGAACAAUAAUGAAAAAGAACUAUCAUCACCUUCUUCAUCUUCUUCUUCUUCAUCAGCUAAGCUCUCUCAAAUGACCAGGCCACUUACUAUUUCUUCUUCUCCCAAUUCUUCUAUCAAUAACAAUAAUGCUUUACUGGAUUUCUCUUUCAACAAAGUUGAUUCCAAAAAUCAAAUCCUUGAUCACAAAUUUUCAUCUGAUCAGGUAAAAAAUAUAUAUCUUUUUCUAUUUCCUUGGUUUCUUUUUUUUUCUUUUUUUUUUAAUUUUAUAAAUUUUAAACUUCUGUGUUCUAUGAUCAAGUGUGCUAGUCCAACCACCAAUGGGGGAGUGUGGAAGAAGGCUAGGGUUCAGCCUUCCUUCGGGCAGCCUCCGGCAAAGGUAAACAUGACGGAAAAACGACUCUUUAUAUCGAUUAGUUUGUAUUAAAACAUUAAAUCAAACCCCUAAAAACUAUUGAUUUUCUUUUCUUCUUACUUUGUGUUGUGAAUCAGGUGAGAAAGGAGAAGGUAGGGAUAGAAUCACAGCUCUCCAUCAGUUGGUUUCUCCAUUUGGCAAGGUAUAAUUAAAAGAAAGAUCAUUGUUUUAAGAUCAUAAUUUUUAUUUAUUAUUCUCCGAUUAUUUUUCUCUUCUUCAUUUCAAUAUACCAAAAAAAGAAAAGAAAAAGAAAAAAGAUCUUUGUUUUCUUUAAGUUCAUGUUGGUCUUUUUCUUCUUGUUUAUAACCUUAAAAGAAUACUUCUCCAUGUUGUUGUGUUUUUUUUUCUUUUUUUUUUUUUUGUUCCUUUUUUGUGUUUUUUUGCAGACUGACACUGCUUCUGUCUUGUCAGAGGCUAUUGGGUAUGUGAGAUUCCUUCAGAGUCAAAUUGAGGUCAAGUUUUCUCUAAACCUAAAUUGAAAUUAAAUCAUUCCUAGUCCAAAAUUUUGUGAAUUUAAUGAUUCUUUUUCCAUGUUUUCCCCCCAUUUUUGGUUUUAAAAACGAAUUGUUAUUGAAUAUAUUUCAGGCUCUUAUCUCUCCAUAUUUGGGCAAUUCAUCAAAAUCCACGAAGAAAAAGGAGCAACUUGUAAGAUCCUUUAAUUUCUUCAAAACCCAUUUGACAACUUUCUUCGUUACUCAAAAAGAAAAUUCCUUUUUCUAAAAAAAGUUGAAAUUUUUUGACCCCAUUUCUACAUUUCCAUUCAAACCCCAAUAACCUUUUUUUUUCUUCCUAUUAAUUGAAAAGAUAUGAAAAACUAAUUAUAUUAUGAAUAUAUGUUUUGUGUACUUUGAAGAGAACAUUAAAUGAUGGAAGAAAAUUAUUUGAGAGAAGUUGAAGAUGACAAUAAUGGAAGAAGUUGUGUAUUUGCUGAAGAUCUUGGUCAGGUAAUUAAUAUAUGCUUUUAUUGGAUCCAUCAUUUGUUAAAUAAAAGGGAGGACUUCAAAAUAUGAAAGCAUCUCAAAGAAAAAAAGAAGAUUAAAAUAUAAAAAAUAAGGGAAAAAGAAAAAGAAAAUUUAUAUUUUAUUCAUAAAGGAAAGGAAGUGAAAGAACAAUAAGGUUCUCAGCUUUUUAUACAACUUUAUCAUUAUAUAAAAGUUACCCUAAAAGCAUUGUUUGUGACUUCCUAAUUGUUUUGAAAUCAUUAUUAAAGGGUUUUCUAAAGAUUACAACUUUUUAAAAUAAAAAAUAGUUAUAUUAUUAUAUAUAUGUUUAUUUUUUUUAUUAAUUUACUGGCCAUUAAAUUAUUGCAGCAGCUCUUGAAUGACAAUAGCCUGAAAAGAAAACUACCCUCCUUCCCAGGUGUGUGUGUGCUUUUUUAAUCUUAUUUCUCAAUAUAUUGAUCUAUUUAAGUGUCUGUAAUUUAUUAGCAAUUACACCCCAUCAUUCUCAUCAUCAUCUUUAUAGGAUAUUAUAGGCAUAUGAUUCCCAUUUAUAUAUUUAAAUGUAGGGCUUAAAAUAGAAAUCAACUUUAUUUAUAUUUCAAAAUCUUAACUAUAUAUAUUGAGUUACGUUCCAUGAUGGGUAUCUCAUCUUCCAUGCUCUAAUUGACAACUAUAUUUUUUUAUAUUUUAUCAAAAUAUAAUCUUAGUUAGUUGAUUAAUCCUUUUGUUUGGUAAUAAAAAGAAUCAAUUUAGUGUUUGAAAUUUGAUCAUUGACACUUGAAAGUACUAUUUAGUGCAUAAAGAUUAGGUCUUUCAAAUGUUGUUGUGUCAUUUUAUAUAUAUAUAUAUAUAUAACUUUUGGCUUGUUAGAAUGUGGCAGGUCAUACAUGUGAUACUUUUAAAUUUGUCAUCUUAAAAAUGACUGAGAAUUCAUUUAGACAAUACAUGAUUUAAAAUAGAGAAAAUGAGAAAAUAAAAUUGGAAUAAAAAAAUUAAUGCCAAUGUACAAAGAUAAUUCUUUCUUCUCUAUGUCAAUAGUAUAGAGAAGAGUGUACGUAGGUAGACUUCUUACUUUUUGUUUUUUAAUUAACUAAUGAAAAAUUACACUUUUUUUUUUUUUUUUUAGUUUUCAAACCUAGAUACCAAAAACAAAAUGUUAGUUAUCAAAUGAAGUUUUAGCUAGUAAACUAAGAUUGGUCUCUAAAGAUGAGGGUGAUAUAUAGAUGUAUGAAAGGCAUGGUUUGGAGAAUUAGUUUGAGUAGUAAAUUGUUUUUAUGGACAGGAGGAUGAAGAAGAAAAGGCAAAGGACUUGAGGGGUAGAGGGCUUUGUUUGGUACCUGUAUCUUGCACACAACAUGUACAAAGUGACAUUAAUGGAGCUGAUUAUUGGGCUCAAGCUUACAAUGACACUUUUUAAGCCAUCCUUCCUUUUACCUGCAUGCCCCAAACAUUGGGAUAUCCAUCACACACACACACACAUAUAUAUAUAUAUAUAUUCUCCAUGUUAAUUAGGAGUUAAUGCUAACCUUUCCUUUUCUUUUUCUUUUAAAUAAACAUGUUUAAAUUCCUCUUUCAUCUCUUCCCUUAUUUUUGUGAUAAACUGUAAGUGGUGAAUUCGAAUCAUCUAAACUUGAGUCAUGAAUUUUUCUUAUUUUUUUACUAUAUAUUAAAAGAUACAUUCACGGACUUGGUUAACAUAUAUGUUUUAUGUUUAGUUGAAUCAUAUUUAUUUUUAUACUUUCUUUUUGUACUUGAGAUUAUGAAAGAUACUAUCUUUAAUGCUAUCUUGGCACACCAAUUUUAUUUUUAAACUCUAGUUCAAGUUUCAGUGUAUCAAUGAAAAUAUUUUGUAUUAUAUCCACACUAAUUUAAAUUCUGCUGUUAUAUCAAAUAUAAUAAUCCUAAUUUUUACCGAUAAAAUUUAAGGCUAAAUUAUACCAAAUGUCCUUACAGUUUGAAUUGUGUAUCCAAAGCACCCCCAACUUUCAAAACAUACCCUUAUAUACUUCAUAAUGAGUUAAAAAAUAUGAUUACCGUUAGUUUUUGUUUAUGAAAACUGUUAGGGUUUUGUUUAAAAUCUACAUAAAUUUUCAAUUUAUUUUAAAAAAAUAUCAUUAAAUUUAAAGAAAAUGUCAAAAAAAAAAAAAAAAUACUAAUACUAUUAAAGAUUAAAUCGUAUUUGGAUUCAUAAACUUUAUGUCUUAUUCUAUUUUCGUUCCUAAUUAAACUUUUAGUCCAUAAACUUUUGAAACAUAUUUUGGUCCUCGUCGUUAAUAUUCUUAUUAAUGAUGAAGUGACUUAUAUAUUUGAAUGAUCUAGGUUAGCUACCAAAUAAGAUAAGUGACUCUUAAUAAUUUAAUUAAAAGUUAGAUGGUAAAUUGAUGUGUUUUUAUCAAAGAAUUCAAAAAGUCAUUUUGUUUUCAAGAUUUUGAUUAUCACCAUUUUGGCGUAUUGUGUCAUUUUGCUUAAGAGUUUCUCAACUCAUAUGCUAGAUGUAAUUCAUCCACAUGAAAUUUUUUUAGUGCCUUAAGUUUGGGUUUUGUGAUUCAUCGUGGGAGUAUUUAUUUACUAUUUCGUAGAGUUUAUUUUAUACAUGUGUCUUACCUAUUUUAUUUUUCUAGUUUAAUCGUGGAUGUUAACAAAAUAUAUUAGUUCUAUUUUAUUUUAUUUAUUUUAUUCUACUCUACUCAAUGUCAUUCUUUUUAUUUUCUUUAAGAUUUCAAUUUAUGAAAAACGAAAUUAAUAAAGGAUCACGAGCUAAGGGGAUGUGAGAGGUUUAUUUGUUUGAGAGAAAAAAAUAAAAUUAGUUUUUAAUUUGGUUUAUUUGAUUCAAGUGUGUGUUGACAUAAAAGAAAUAUAUAUAUAUAUAAUAAACGACUAGCAAGAUUUCUUGAUUUAAUUAAUAUGAUAAAUUUAGAGUCUAAUCAACCAAAUAUAUCAACCACAUCAUUAUUCCGUUAAAAAGUCAACAACAGAUAUCAAAGUAAGCAUUUUUUAAAAGUUGGAGAAGUAAAAUAGACGGGAACCAUUUUGAAUAAAAUACAAAGUUUCUUUAUAAAAAAAAAUAAGAUUUUAACCAAUAGAAAUUAUGAACAACUUAGUUGCAUGAAUACCUAUAAACUUCUAAAACCUCCAUUUAUACCCUUACUUUUUUAAAAAAAAGUAAAAAUUCUAUUACAAUUUAAUCUGCACUUCAUCACCUCUUCAAUCUUCUUUAUCUCCUCUACUUCAAUCUAUGACCUAUCGUUUCUAUUUUCUCUGUUUCUUUUUCUCCUCUCUUCUAUCUCCUUCUGUUAAAUAUCCAACCUUUUGUUUAUCUCAUUUAAGAAAAAUUUGCCCCACUUCAGUUAAGUAUAUAGAUUAUAACAAAUUAAUAAUAACAAUAAAAUUACUAAUGAAAAGCCUUUGGACUUAUACACUCUUACAAGAUUAUACAUUAGUAGAUUAGUAGUUGAGUGAGUAAUAAUAAUUAAACACAUUCUUUUUUCACGUGAUUAUUUAUAGUUUUGGUAAGUUUUUAGAAGGGCUUUUUUAGUUUUGGUGUUGUAUUGGAUGUUAUGAUCAUUUAUCUUGAUGUUAUAGUUUAUUUUUUUUGUUGUGAAAUUGGUGUGAAAAUUAGAAAAAUGGAAAAAAAGAAAUGAAGAGUAUCUAUAUACAAUAAAAAAAAAACAAGAGAAUAUCUAUGUAAUUUGUUCUAAACUUUGAUUCUUCUUAACUCAACCAAACUCUAGAUUAAUUAUUAUAUUAAUAGAAAAAGUAUUUAUUUUUUUCUAGACAAAAGUAAUAUAUUAACGAAUCUUUUAAAAGUUAGACGAGUGUUAACCGUUUGUAUGUACUAAUAACAAUGUUUUGUUCAAAACCUUUUUUAAUUUAAGGAUAUUUUUUUAACAAAAUAUUAAUUUUUCAUCCAAAACCAACCAUGGGAGUGUCUUAAAAAGUUUAAGGUUAAAUAUAUUUUACGUGAAGUUUAAAGUUUAGGGGCACUUUGUAUAAUUUAGUCUAAAACUAAAACCUCAACUUCUCGUAUAUCGAUUAAAUAGUUUUAAAUGUAUUGGAAUAGAGAUUUAUGAUUUAUAUAUAUAUAUAGUAUCCAAUAACACAUUGUUUAAAUAAGUAUUCAAAUUCAAAUUAUGUUACCAAUACAAAUGUAUGUUUUUAGAUUCUCAACCAUACAAGCUCAAGCCUUCCAUAUAUUAAUAGAAUAGUGCAAUCAUCAAUUCAAUCUGUACUUAAUUGUGACUUACUUCUAACAUGCGCACAACUCUGCUGACAUAAAAUUUAUGACAAUCAACCUUGAGGUGAGCACUUCACGUCACAUAUGGUUCAAAAAUAAAAUAGAAAUGGUGGGAUUGUUCUCAUCUUUCAACCAAGGAAAUGAGUAGAAUAAUCACUGAUCUUUCUUCUUCUCUUACCCUUCUAAUAAUGAUAUUUCUAUUCAAGCUUGUUAGUUUAUCUAUUUAAUAGAGAUCCUAACAUGGAUGAGAUGAUAAGAGCUCAAAUUACAAAAUUAAACUUAACUUGGAAUUGAAGCAUAGACUUUACAAAUUUCAAUCAUGCUAUAAAUGGCUGAUGAAACUUUUCAGUUCAUUUGGGAGAAUGUCACCUCACAAACAUAGGAAUAUUUUCAUCCAUAUUUCAAACAUGGUAAAAACACUCCAUACAAAAACUCAAAAAGUACUUUUACGAACUUGUAAGAAAUUGUUUAAAAAAUAGUGAAGAUUUGAACCUGAGACCUCUUGUUCACAAAACAUACAUGUGCUAGUUGAGCUAACGUUGACAAUAUGACUGAUUUGGUUGGGAUUUUAAAUUGUUUCAAAAACACUUACACCACCCAUUAAAAUAUGUUGGGUCAAAACAGUUGUAAUUGCCGCACGAGGACUUGCGAUUUCUUUAAGCAAAACGACCCUCACAAUUAAUGGAUUUAUUUGGAAAAGGCAUCUCUCAAGGAGUAAUUGUUAGAGAUUUAUACUUCAAAUUGUAAAUGUUUGUUGUUCCCCAUCUUCCACACAAACAUUUGUUCCAUCGCAUUUCUCUUCAUUCAUCCAUCACAGGGUUUCAAACCUUGCCCCAUUUUUGUUCUAUUCCCCAUUUUUAUUUUGUCAUGCAUGUCCUAAAGUUCAAGAGUAUUUAAUGACUGCAACAUUUUGUUUUAGCAAUGGAAGAUACAAUUUUUUUAAAAGUUUUAAAAGUUUGUUUCAAAUUUCAAAGGUAUUUUUGACAGAGUCCAAAAUUCAAUAGUAUUUUGAAACGUUUCAGAGUUCAGAGUACUUUUGAGACAACACCCAAAGUUCAAGGACAUUUUUUAUAAUUCAACGUACACAUAACAAUAAUACUUAACUUAACUUGGGAGUAAUUCUAAUAAACUUUCAUAAUUGUUCUUGUUUUUUUCUGAAAUGUUGAAAUUCUAUCCAUAUACUUGUAACAACAGUUAUAAAAAGUUGAGAGAUUCACAGUACCAAAACUUAAUUUCCUCCUUCCAAAUCAUUUUGAUUGUGACAUUUCAACCUAAAUAAAACGAACAAAAAAAACUUUAAUAUUUUAAUCUUCAAAUCAAAGCCAUUCAAUCAGAUUCUAAUAAACGAAUCUGGAAAAAAACACAAUCUCAAUCAAAAUCCUGACCACAUUAAAUCAGGGCUACAUUCCUAGACAAUGAUGGCUCAACAGCAACACAAAAGGUAAUGACAAAAAAUAAGCUACACCGCAACCACCCAAUAGUUGUCCCUCCCUUCAAGUAAUAAGUCAUAUGAGACAUAGUAACUCACCAAAGAAAGUAACAACAACAAUAAUAAUACUAAUUUGUUAUCAUUAGUUUCAUAAUUUCUCAUAUCUCAGCCAAAACUCAAAUCUUGUGAUAAGAUAUGUGAAGUGAACACAUUGUCACUCAAAAACAGUUGGAUGCAUGUUACAAUCAUGUUUUAUAUGAACAUGCAGCCUUGUGAGAACUCAUAGGUAUAAGCUGUGAAGGUCAAAAUUACAUAAAUAAUCAAUGGAUAAAGAAAUUCGAUCUUUGAUCAGUGGUAUUUGCCAUUCGGUGACUUUCUUUUCAUUAUCAAGGAAAAGAAAGGGGAAAAAAUGGUUAUAUAUAAAGAAUCAAUGGCCUGAAUAGAGGUCAAAAUAUAAGACAGUCUUGAAGAGAAUCAAUACCAUUCUAGCAAGCGACCAGGUAAAGGUCUUGAAGCUUUAAAUUCCGAAGUUGUUCUAUGCUCUUGUAAAGUUCUCACUUCGAACAAGGGAUUGUGCUAAAUAUAUGCAAGAUGAUUAUCUGUUUUUUUUUCCCUGAAAAGAAAGUGGGAAGAUCAAUAGAAACUUUAUAUCAGGACAUUCCAUAAUUUUCCUAAAAGAAAAAUUCUGAAUACAAUGAAGAUGGAAUAUUAGGAGUUCAAAUGAUUGUGAAAUUAACUAUUUUCUUUUGUCGUAUUAUAGGACGAAACAAAGAAGAGGAUGACUUCAUCCAAGUAUAUCAAGUAGUACCUCUACUCUACUGGAAGAAGUGCCAUUUCAAUUUCCUGAAGUGAUUUUCCUUUUGUCUCCACUACAUUUCUCUUCACAAAAAUCACUGAUAUCAAGCAAAAUGCACCGAAAACUGUGUACAGGAUCUGGGCUCCUAUUUGCUCCAGUAAGGGCAGGAAGAGUAAACCGACAAAAAAGUUUAUCACCUGUUCAUGUCCCAACCAGCAAGAAUGUGAGAUGUCUACAAGGUUUCUUUUUCCUUAACUUCCAUAACUUUUUCUUGUUUGCAUGAGAGGGAAAGACAAAAGAGAAGACGAUAAACAGUGAAGGAAGCAAAGCCAAACGAAAACAAAACAUCCAAUGAAGUUCUUUAACAAUUCUGUUUCUGUGGACAGAAAGUAAAGUAGCGAAUGUUUAGCCGUUCCGUUCCACAAGUUUUAUCACGUAAGAAUUUUAUCGAUCUUCUAUGUUGGGUAUCUAUACAACUGCUUCUUCUUCUAUAAAUUUUGUUCCAAUUCCAAGGUUGUAAAACAAAAGUCAAAUAUGGAAGCAAAGAACAAAAGCACCACAGCAGAUAAAUGAACAUCCUAACAAAGUCAUAUCAGGUUGAAACAUAGUACCCAAUGUACCGACAUACAAAACGCCAUUGCUUUUGCUCGAAUUCGACUAGGAAAUAUUUCUGAUAGGAGGAGGCUAGGAACAGGACCGGCACCAAGAGAAAACGUCAGAACAAACCUGCAUAAAAUUCAUCUUGUGCAUGUCAAAACAAACUUGGUUAUGAGCCUAUCUAGCUGGAACAUCCUACAUUCAAUUAUCUAGCUGGGCAAUCCAAGUUUGCUGGACUAUUAGGAUGUUAAUUACUCACAGUAACAUGCCACCGGCAGACAGAUAGAAUGCUUCAGUGCUGGAUGGGAAUGAGCUUGCUCCAAACACUUGGAGGCCCAUUGACACUACCUGGAACAAAACGCCCUAAUGUGAGAAAAAAGUACCAUUUGCAAGUAGAAAGUAAAACCUAAUCGAGGCUACACUUGAAAGAAAUUUGUAAACAAUUUUUAGUUUUACCUAAUUUAAUGAUCAGUCUCAUACAUGUUACAUAAGUGGUUCAUGACUUCAGUUGGGACCAAAUGAUGCUUUAAAGAGCAUAACCAUACAUCUGUUAUGAUUACAUAAUACACUUAAAAGAGGUCCUAUAGGAACUUCCUAAAACGGAAAUUUCGUGUACAAUACAAAAAUAGAACUGGAAACAUAUAAUCUAAUAUUUUAGUUUUGAAAUUUAGUCUCACAGUUUUUACCAAGACAUCCUUCUGUUCCAAAGAGACUUUUCCUGGAAAAGCACUAAACUAAUUACCAUGCCUGAAAAACUCCCAAGAAGCAGCACCCUUCUUCCAAGUUUAUCCAUCAGUAUCAUUGCAACAAUUGACCCUGAAGGAUGAAAAAAAAUAAAGUAUAUACAAGCAUAAUCUCAUAGCGGAACUGGAAGAUGAUCUCAGUCAAAGCGAACAUACCUAAGAAGUUUGCUACACCUAUACAAAUAUUUGCACGAUCUGAAGGUACACCGAAACUUUUGAAGACAGAAGAGAGAAAUAGAAAACAGCGUUUAUGCCAGAGAGCUGCUGUAAAGCAAAAAGGGUUGAACCAAUGAAAACCACUGCAAAAUUUGACAUGUAAAUGUAAUAAUUUAGAGAAAAAAAGAGUUUCAUAAAGAGUUCAAAGAAUGUGAGAAACUAUUAACUGAGCAGUGAUUACAUUGUAUGUUACCUCUGUGAUGGCGGCCAUGGAGUAACUCUGAUAACUUUACUGCACCUGAAUCCUCUCCUUUAUCAGACUUUGACAAUUCUGCAUAUGCAUAUUUAACAUCUGCCCCUCCCAAAAGCUUCUCAAAUUCAGCCUCAGCUUCAGCAGUUCUUCCACUCUAAAACAAAUCCAAAAAAGUUAGAAAGAAAUUACUUCACAAUAGAAACAAGAAACGGUCCAUGAAAAGGAGAGCAUGAAACAAAAUACUUGCAUAUGAGUGGGAUGCUCGAUCAUCAAUUUUGUUACUCAUCCAAUAGAUCUCAUGAGAGAUCAAUACAGAAUUGUAGAAACAGAAAAUCAUUUGAAUUUGGUUAUAGAACUUGAAUUUAUCCUGAAGAAAAAAUUUCUGUGAUUCUGAAAUUAUAAGCACAAUAAUGACAAAGAGCCUUUAAUGGUGUAACUAUUGUAUCUUGUGGUGUCAUAUGGAACUGAACUAAUUGACGGAUUGAACCAUGCCAGUGGAAGAAAAAAAAAACUAACAACGAAAUGAAGUAGGAUACGAAGAUAUGAAAACCUUGAGAUGUUUACCAACAAGAGCGAGAGGGAAGAAAACAAACAUAAGGGGAUAAAAGGUUAACUAACAAAGAAUUUCUGGGAAAAUGACUCAAAUACAAGAUAUAUCACUUAACCAUGGCAUGACAUAACAAUGUGCAAUUAAUAUAUGUGCAUGUUUGGGGGAAAGAAACAGGACCUAUAAUUCCUUAAACUUGCUUUGAACUCAACCAAUUUAUAAUAUAAUCUAGCAUAGCAAGUGAAGAAAGUAAACUCUCAAACACUAAUCGAUAAACUUCCCAAGAGCAAUUGAAAUUAUGCAUGGGACUAUGACCUUGAAAAGCCAGUGAGGACUUUCUGCUGAAAACUCCAUCAAAAGGCAAGUAAAGCAGCAGGAAUGACUGAUACCCAAAAACAAGCCGCCACCUGAAAAAAUCUUAUAGUCAGGAGAGCUUUGAUAUGAGCUGACAUUCGUAGAGAAAUUGAGAACUGCCCACUCUGGAUAGAUAAGAAACAAAAACUUUUAUGUAGUCUUCUCAACCUCACAUUUUCUCGGACACUACUUACCAACCUACUAUUCCCUUGGCCUGAAGUCCCAUAAAUAGGGAUCCCAGAAGACCGAGACACGAUGAAAUCUGAGUAAAACUCCCAAAAGUUCCUCUUACAUAAGCUGGUGAUACCUGCUCAAAAUGAAUAGGGAAUAACUAAAAUAAACGCAAAAUUGGAGGCAAGAUUUUAAAUUUAAUACCAGAGUAUGGAGAAGUGUACAAAUUUAUCAGGCUAUUAUACCUCAGAAACAUAGAGUGCUGCAACAGCUGGCCCAAGUCCCAUCCAGUUCCAACAAAUAACCUCCCAAGAAGCAUUCCCCAUAGAUUUUUUGUGGUUGCGCUAUAAUCAUAUUUGUGCAAAAAGAAUUACUAACAAAACCGAACUAAUUUAUGAUAUAUAGUAAUGAGGUAAGAUAUGUUUGAAACUUGAAAUUGGGAGAUAUUAUUAAAAUGACCUGAACGAGGUGGUACAUAUGUGUGACAUUAAAAAUGUAUUAAUUGUAAAGUUAAAAAGGAACGUACAAGAAUCAAUAUGAUAAGUAAACGGCCUUCAAAUCUUGUAAAUUGCAUUAUAUGACAAAAAAAUUUAGAAAAAAACAGCUCAUAACACUUCAUUUUUGCAUAUUGCAAAUUUAGCAAAUAUGACGGUAAUAAGAUAAUAAUAAGACGGUAAUCUAACGGUAAUCUGCUUUUAAAUUUACUAUUUUUGCAAUUUGAAAAUGUGAGUGACAUAAGCUCUAUUAUCAUAAUUCUUUUUCAUUAUUUUUGCAAACUCCUUACAUCUUCCCCAAAUAUUAAGAAGAAAUAUGGUUCCAAGGGGUGGAUCACUCAGGAAGAUGCUGCACAUAAUGCUCACCUCAUUGAUGCACCAAUUAUCAUGGGUAAUGCACAAAGCUGCAAUGCUCUACGACGCCCUACCCCAUCUGCAAUCCAGCCACUGAAUAGAGAUCCAAGAAAGGCACCACCUAAACAUGUACUUACUACGAGACCUUUAUACAAAGAAAAGAUUAGAUUGCUCUUGUCAAACACAAAUAAAAGUACCAAGGCCCAUUUCAUAACCCUUUGGUUUUUUAAAAUUAAGAUUACAAAUGCUCUGCUCCCACCAAUGAGUUUCUUUAUUUUGUUAUCCACAUCUUUGGGAUGUUGUAAAAUACAAGCCAACUUCUAUAAACAAAAAAGAAAGUAGUUUUUUUUAAAAAAAGACUGGUUCUUUUCUUUCUUUUCCUUUUCUUCUUGUGAAUUUGACUAUAGAUCUAAUUAUUUUCAAAACUAGGGUCUACAAAUCGUGAGAAAACAAGUAUAAUUUCAAAAACCAAAUCUUUAUCAAACAAGUCUAAAAUAUAUGUUUUGGUAAUCACCUUCUGCCAAUGUACUCCCACUAAAGGCAAGGUCCAGAGAAAUACUCUCUAACGUUUCAUUAACUACACUGCAUCAUCAAAGAUAAACAAUUAAUUGAUUAAAUCAAUUUGAAAAAUACAAUGGAUAAAAGAAAAGUAAAAAUGAUAUACGGAAUGGUGAUGAUUGAGGACAUACCCAAGAUGGUAGCCAAACAAAAAUGAAGCAAGAGUCGCUACAACUACGUGCGGAAAGGGGCGUCUCCAUGAAGGGUAUCCAGUAUGUCGCACUAAAACAUAUUGAGUAGUGAAGCAGUUAAUAUAGUUUCAUACAACAAAAUAAUCAUCAGAAUCUUGACACAGGCAUUGCUACCACACCUGAACCCUCUUGUUUAUCGUAAGCAUUUAUGUGGUCCUUUGUCGCUCCACGUUUGUACGUCGAGGAUACUUCCACAACAUGCCGCCCCUCAUGGCGUAAUUCUAAUUAUCAAGCUCAAACUCAAAACCAGAUGUAGAACAACUGCCUAUUAGGAAACGGGUAACUAGUAAGCCCUGGAGACUGAAACAGCAAAAGUAAAACCGAUAAGAGAUCCUGAGUUCAUCAGGAUGUUAUGCUAUCAUGUGAAUCUAAGACCCAAAGGAUCGUAUAUACCCAAAUGGACAGUAACAAUCGACAAAAAAACUCAUGAAUUUAGAGGAUCUAUCAAUAUUUUCAAAUACUUCAAUACAGAUAAAUCCGAUAGUUACAUAGACAAUUGACCAUUUCAACACAAAAAAUGUACCCAACAACACAAUUAAACAAAAAUCGGAGGAAAUGAGCAAUGAGAUACGAAUGAUUUAGAGAUGAAAUCAUAGAGAGGUGAGAAGUAAGGUUACCUUUGAAAAUCGCAGAAAAAUAAAGCGAGAAGGCAGAGUGAGUGACUAAAAGGCAGCCGAAUGAAGCAAAAAGGGAUGGAGGAAGGAGGAUGAGGGAUGGAAUGGAAGAGGAGGGAGUGGUUCCGGCAUUGGAAAAUGGGGAAAGGCGAUGGGUGGCAUGUAAUGCAAUGGAGUUUGAGUAAUUUGGAUUGAGUGGUAAAAGAAGAAGCAAAUGGGUGAGGAGGAAGAAAGGGGAGUGAUUCAUGUGGUGAUCUUCGGGAAGCUUGUGAGAGCUCGUCUCGUAGGCUAACACCUGUGCUUCUUUGUCGGAGCUGCCAUUGAUCAUCUGUUGUUCUGCUCAGAUUAAGCUUCUUGUAGCCCAAUAUUAUUGUGACACCUUCAAUCACAAUGCCUGUUCCUUUCUCAAUAAUAUUCCCGCCAUCAAAGUUCUAUAAAGUUUUUUGUUUUAUGAAAUUGUUACUAUACUGCCAACACAAACAUAAGAAAUCAUAGCAUCAUUACUUUGAUUAACCUAAAUAUUAAAUUAUUAGUAUGUCCUCCAACUUAAUACAAGAUUUCAUGAAGUUGUAUUAUUACCACCAUCACUAGCUAAUAUAGCUAGCCGUAUUUAGAAAAGGUUUAGUUGCAACUUGGACAAAAUAAGUUACCAAAUUAAUAUUAGCCCCAUCACCCAACCUUCUACUUUUGCAAAAACAAAAUCAUACCAAAUACCAUCAUCAACCAAAUAAUCUCAAAAUAUAGCACAAUUUUUUAAAAUAUUAAUCAAUAUAAUAACUAUGACUAAAUAUUUUUUAAUUCCAAAUUUAUCCUCCAAUACACAUGUUUCUUAAGAUGUACAUGAGUCGAUUUGGGUUGGGUUGAAGAUGUUUUUUGGGCUAAUCUAAAAAUUCAUUUUGGUUGGGUUGACAACUCAAUAGACCUAAAUAAAAUCUCAAACUUGUGUUGGAUUAGGUGAUUGGGUUAUAACUUAUUUUUUAAAAAUUUUAAUUAUGUAAGUUUGUAUAUGGAUAAUACAUUAUUAAUAACUAAAUGGGGAAUUUAUGAUAGAAACGAAUAAACUAUUUAUAAAAUAUCGCAAACAAACUUAAAUGAACUACACAUGAUUUAAUGAACUUUGCUAUACCUUGUAAAUGUUUAUAAUAUUUAAAAAUGUCUAACUAAAAUCUUAUUAAAUUCAAAUAUAAAAUAUCAAAUAUCUAUAAUAUUUAAUACAAAUUUUAAACCCACACAAAUAUCAUAACAAUUUUAAAAGAUUUUUUUUAAAUUCACAUAUUAAUCAAUAAAAGUAGUCAGUUUCCAACCAAAAAAAAAAAAAAAAGCGUAUACAUAUAUUAUUAGUAUAUAUAUGUUUUGGUUUGGACAACCCAAAUUUCCUUUUAUCCAACCCACAAUCUAACCCAACCCGACAAAAGUAGAAAAUGUUUAACCGAACCUAACUCAACAACAAAAUUAACUCAAUCCAACCUUUACAUUUUGGGUUGGGUAGUCCUAGAUUGUUUGGGUUGUCGGUUAUUUGAACACCUCUAUGCGUGCUUUUCCAUCACUAGAUAGUAAUCGAUAAUAUGUUUCUUAGACAGUAGUUAUCAAUGAUAUCAGCUACCUAUCUGUGAUAUUAAUUGAAUGCAGUUAUAUUAAUAAUAUCACAUUUCUUAAAUUGAAAAUUAUCGCUAAUGACAACACCACUAGUAGCAAUUAUCAGCAAUUUGAUAGCACAAGUACUCCCAAACUAAAAGUUAUAUAUCACUAAUAGCAAUCUAUCAAUAAUAUUCAUUGAUAGCAGCUAUUAGUGGUAGCAAUUACCAAUUUUUAUGUACGUUAAUAUAUUCUAUUAUUUCAAACUUAAAUGUUAUUUAUGUAAUUAGUCCUUCACAAAAAUAGCAAAACAAAACAAUACAAUACAAAUAAACAACACAACUAAAAACUCAUCCCACAAUUCAAAACAAAAAUCUAAAAAAAGUACGGAUACACUUAAUACAUUAGUCACCUAAUACACUUGAUACCUCUAAUACCUUUGUACUAUUUGAUACACAACCAAUAUAUGUUUGUCAUGUUUAAUAACCUUUAUACACACUUGAAUUAAAAUGGUACACUUAAAAUUUUAAAAGAAUCUCGAACUUCUUCUUUGAACGCAAAAGAUCCCCUCCCCUGUCAAUCAUGGAUCACAACUUGUUUUUCUUUUUCUUUCUCACGACCUGUCUCUUUAUGCAUAAUAGAUUCAUUUAUGCGUAAGUGCAUGAAUGCUUUUGCUAAUUAUUUUAAUUUGAGAAACAUUAAAACAUAGAACUAAACUAACACAAAAUAAAUAUUUCGUCCCAAUAAGUUUGCUUUAUAAGAAUAAAAGGUAAAACUAAUGGAGAAAGCUUACCCUCGAAGAUCUUUUUCCUUUUCGUGUAAUUCUCUCUUCUAAACCCCUUGAGCAUAUAUAAAUUUCCAUGCAGGAUUCAACGAGACACUGUUACAAGAAAAGUCACUUCUAUGUCUCUAGUAUAAUUCGAAGCUUGAGAGAAACCUUUUAAAAGUAUAAAAUGAAAGUAAGAGAUUUUUUGUAACGAAAGAUCGAAUUUUCUUUUUCCAUCGCAGAGCACACACCCAAUCUAGUGAUCAUUUGUAGAGUUAAUAUUAGAAGAGGGUUUACCCUUUCUCUAACACACCACCACUUUCUUUUCACCUUAGGGAGUUAGUGUUUAAUUAAAAAAAUAUUUAAAUGAAUAUAAGUCAAUUAAAAAUAUUUAAUUAAAAUAAUGUUUAAUAAAUCUAAUUUCUUAAAUAUGAUGUCUAAAUCAUGUUGAAAAAGAUCUAUCAAUUUUAUUUACAUCAAUAAUUUUAAUCUAUAGUUAUAAUAUUAAGAAAAAUUAUUAUAAAUGGCAAAAACACACGGAUGUUUAUAAAAUAUAGUAAAAAUUUAGAGUUGUCUAUUCGUGUCUAUCAACAAAUAAUAAAUAGAUUUUAAAAUUUUAGAUUAGUCAAAUUAGUUUCUAUAAAAUCUAAAAUUUUGCUCUAUUUUAUAAAUAUUUUGAUUCAUCUUGCUAUUUUCAAAAUACUCCUAAUAUAAAUCUAAUUUAUAUUUUUAAAUGUUUAAAUCUCAUUCAAAUAUUUAUUUUUGUCGUAUAAAUAAGUUGAAUUUUGAGUCCAAACUUCAAAAAAUUAACAUUAUAUAUAAUGUAUUCAUAUACAGUUUAGUGUAUCAUAUAUACAAUUAUCUUCUUUUAUUAUUUGAACUAUUUAAAUUCAUUAAAAAUUUUAACAAUUCCAUUUUUAUAUCUUUAGUGAGCUAGCAAUAACACCUAAUGAAUUUAGUAUUAGAAACUCUAAAAAUACGAAAUUAAUUAAUUAAAUUAUUCAAUAUUCAUUAACUACACGUUAUUUCACAAAAGACUCAUGGGUGGAACAUCUCUUCACACACUUUAUAUAUAUUUUUUUGUGUGUGGACUUAACCGACGAAUCUAUCUUUUUCGAGUCCUUCAAUAAUUACUGCUGGGUCAAAUUAUCGUUUUAUUCUUAUAUAAGCAUCACUAGUUCUUAAGUCCAUUAAUCUUCUAUGAACGUCGACCCAAUUUAUAUGAUCCUACCAUAAACAAAGUUUUCCAAUGAGAAGAAAGGGGUCCCAUUGUUCAAGAGGCAACUUCAAUACUUAAAAACAACUCAUUCACUUCCCUAAAGACACGAAUGAGUAAAUUUCAUUUUUUUUGUAGAGUCGUGUCUCAAAAAUUGUAUGAUAAGCUUAUUGAGUCAACAAUCGUGUCAUACACUCUCACCAAUAUAAAUCAAAGAACAAUUUCUUAUAAGCAGAAGUUCAUAACUCAGGUAGGAUUGAGAUAUUGAAUUACCUAGGUCAUUUAAUAAAGUAUCAAUUUUUUCAGAGAUUAAUGAUUUUGUAGUCUGGAACUAAUACUCACACUCAUGUGUCAAUUACAUGAACAACUUUGAAUCACAUCCUUUGUAAUAGUAAUAUUUACAAAGUGAGUCAUAUCCAUAGCGUUACUAGGAUGAGGUGUCCAAAACCUUACCCAUAGAUACUAUUAGACCUUUUAGAUUAUUAUUAUUUGAAUAUGAUUCACUACAUGUGUUCAACACGUAUUGUUUCGUUCUCAUCAAAUAACCAUGAAUCUUUAGUUUAUUAGAUUAUUUAAUGCAAGACCAAUGAGUAAAAUAAUAUAUUUUUUAUUUUAUUAACAAAUAAAUAAUUUUUAUAUGAAUAAAUAACCGAUUUAGGACCUAAAUCUCAACAACUAAAUGGUCCUCUCCAAGCUAGGAAUCAAAAUCAUAGCUAUAACUAAAACUUACUCUUCUCAGAUUAAGCAUGGUGUUGAUAUAAUUUGUGGGAUAAAACCUACAACAUGGAUUGCCUGGACGAACAAACAUACUAGUACUAAGGGACAAUUAAAUCUACUAUCAUGUUAAUCUUAAAAUUAGUUCAAUCAAGUAAUAGAAAACAAGAACAAAUAAAGAACUUAAGAACGUUAAAAAGAAAAAUCUCAUUAAACCAUAGAAUACGAAAAGAUCUUAUUAAACCAUGGAGAAUAUGCACACCAAUAAAUAAAAAUUACAAAGCAAAGUAUGAAGAAACAUGGGUUUUUGGCCAAGAAUGGCCAAAAUGAAGCCUAAUGGUGAAAAUAGCUAAAUCUCUUCUGCUCUAACCUAAAAACAAAGAAUAUAAAUAUUUAUAUAACAGUAUAUUGUUUGUGUCUAGGGUGAAGUAAUGUGGCGACACUAACUGGAACAUGCAUGCAAACUUGAAGCGCAAUAUGUUAUGCUCUUUGCCUUUAAGCGUUGUGCACAGUUGUAUUACUACACUACACAACGCCUUACUUUAUGGUCAUUUUUGUCAUUUUAACAUUCUCUCUUAGUUAGAUGCAUUUAACUUUUAUUGGCCUGACCUAUUUUUUGCUUAAUUCUGUCACUAAUGUCCCAUUUAGACACUUAAAACCUAUAUUAAAAAUAGUCAAAUAAACACAAACAAUCUCACUUUUAAAUUGAACGUGGGAACGUGAACGUGAAUAAAAGAAAAUAGUUUUAAAUUAUUAAAUCAUAUUCUUUAAUGGUAUAUAUAGCAUUUUUGGUUAUUUAACACUAACAAAAAAACCAUUUUUGAACGUUAAUAAAAAAAACUAUUUUUAGUAUAUAGCAAACGAAACAACAAGCUUAUAUAUAAAAACACUCCUUCUAAAAGUAUAGUCAAACGUACGAGUAAUUUUAAAAUUUUUUAUCAAAAGCAAUUGAAUUAAAAUGAUCUUUUACAAUCCAAACAAAGAUAAUCGUCUAAGAUUUAGAUCAAAGUAACUUCAUAUAUACUUUUUCUAAUAAUUGAAGCAGAGAUUGCACAUGAGGCAUUCUAAAAAGAUCCCACAAUAUAAUAAUAUUAAUAUAAAAUAUAGAUGUGAGAAAUUUACUAUUUUAAUGUAGUGGAACCUGUAAAAGGGAAAUGACAAGUGUUGAGUGUUCACAAAUCAAUAUUUUUAUUGUAGUAAAAGAAAGACAGUGCAAUGUUUACUCUAAGAAUACAGUAGCUAGGCAAGAUUUUCAAUGUGUGUGUAAAGAAUUUCCAGUAUUAGGAAGAGUCUUUCAUUGACAACUGCCAUGGGUGAACUUUAUGGAGCUACGAUUUGGGCAAUAUGAUUUUUUUGAAGACAUUAAGUAGUUUAUAUAUAGAGUCAAUCAAUGGAUAAGUUGAACAAGCCUACUGGAAUUGUGUCUUACAAUUUUAUAUGAUUUUUGUUCAUAUAAAUAUCAGGUUCCUUAAAUACACAAUUCAUAUUAUUUUGUUGUUCUUGCCUUGCAUUAUAAUGUAAUAAGGUUGUUCUGUUUAUUAUGUUACAUUAAUUAAAUUGGUAGGUCUUUACGUAUGAGAUUGUCAUAUUGCUUAGUGGACAGGUUGUAGUAUGCUUUUAGUGAUGCUAUAUCAUGCAUCAUGUGUUCAAGUUGCACCGUACUCAUUUGGAUUUAGGAUAAUUUACAAAUAGGUGUUUGAGUUUCAAAUAGUAAGAAAUCAAUUACAGCUUAGGGUUUAGAGUCUAGGGUUUAAUUUUAAAUUCUAAUAUAUUUUCUUAAUAGUUACAUGUGAACUUGGAUAAAUGACGACCUUGUUCAAGCUGAUGACGAACAUACUUACUUUGAGUUAGUUUUUGGACCGCCACGUUGGAGAUUACCAAAGACUAAAAGGAUUAAAUCUCACAAUGGAAGCCGAAGACUAAAGGGAUUGAAUCUCACAACGGAGACAUUUUAUUACUUUUAUUUUUAUUUGGAAAGAUGAAAAUACAGAUAAAUUGUAAAUUAAAAAAAAUACAAAACACCACUAAUAGUUAGGAGUAAACACGAUGAAAAACCAAGUCGACCAACAAAAAUAGACUAAAUCAAAGAUGGCCAGUUGGAGAAAAAGAAGGGGUUCGGUCGGUGUCGACUAACAAUUUUUUAAAAAUUUUCAAAAGUUUAAACAAACCUAAAAACCAAUUGAUCGAUCAACAGAUGGUUUGCACUCCUUGAUCAUAAUCGAAGUCAAGUUGAACAUGUACCAAACUUAUAAUAGCCAGUUUGGUGAUGAUUUUAUUGAAAAAUCUACUUCGAUUGGAUCGCGGCUCUUUCCAACUAAAAGCCAUCUCCAGCAACCACCACUAUCAAAACUCUCCUUGACAAUCAAACCAAACAAACUUCGGUAGAAAUUAAAAACAAAGUUACUCAAACCUAUGAAUAUGGAUAUUUUUGUUUUAAACAAUUUUUAUCAAGAGUGAUCAAAUUAAAACGAUCUUUUGUGAAAACAUUAAUUUUUCCAAACAAUCCAAAGAGAUCUAAGAUUUAGAUUAAAAGUAACUUGAUUUCUUUUAUAAAUAAUUGAAGUUGAUAUCACAUGAGGCAUGUUAUGUGGGCUAUUAAUCUGUCAUGAUCUCCGUAAAUUGGUGGAAGAAUUAAGUUAUUUUUCUAUUUAUUGUUUUGGUUAUUUAUUUAUUUUUAAUUAUCUCCAAAAUUUUAGCAAGCACUAAGUUAGUGGGUUACUAAUUUUUGCUUCCUUUUUAGACUAUAAAUAUUAGUCCAUUAAAUUAUAUUGAAUAAAUGCAAGAAGUUUCAUUUAAUUUUCUCUCCCUCUUGGCAAUAUAUCUUACAAAGUAUUUAUCUUUGUUUUCUUCAAAAAGAGUGCAUGAGAUUUUACAGAUCUUUGUUUUAAAACCAACAUUUGGUAUCAGAGAAGGUUGUCUUCUCAUCGCAUAUUCCAACAAAGAUGGCAAGCGUCUCGCAGCAAACAAAGGAGAAUGGUGGAAUGCCGAUUCUCUACCCGAUGUUAACUCCACAUAACUACACGGUGUGGACGAUAAAGGCAGAAGAGGAGCCAGCGAGAGGAGCCGAAGUGGAUGUGAAGAAAGACAAGAAGGCGCGUGCAUACAUUCUCCAAUGCAUCCUGGAAGACGUGCUUCUACAAAUCACAAAGAAGAAGACCGCAAAGGAAAUAUGGGAUAGUUUCAAGACAAGGUACUUGGGCAGUGAGCGGGUGCAGAUGGUGAGAGUUCAAACCUUGAAGAGUGAGUUUAAUGUUUUCGGAUGAAGGAAACUGAGACGAUCGAUGAGUUCGCAAGAAAAAUCAGCGGAUUAGCAAGCAAGUUCACCACCCUCGGAGUUGCACUUGAGGAUUCAUCAUUGGUCAAAAAGCUCCUCGAUUCCGUCCCCGACAAAUAUCUUUCCAUUGUCGCCGAAAUCGAGCAAUUCCAAGAUCUCGAAACCAUGUCGUUUGAAGAAGCAAUUGGACGAAUGAAGGCGUACGAGGAACGAACAACACGACUCCGAGAAAACAAUAACAAUACCGAUGGACAACUCCUACUUACCCAUGCUGAAUGGAAAGCUAGACAAAAAGGACAUAGUGGUGACAACUCUUCGAUGAACAAAGGGCGUGGAUUUGGUUGUAUCGAUCGAGGAAGAUGGCAAGGAUGUGGUGGUGAGCCGUGGUCGUGGCACUAAGCGUCAAAAUAGUGCGGGAGACACUAGCAACACUGGAAAUGGCACUCGUGAUAAAAGUUACAUUAAGUGUUUCACUUGCAAUAAGAUGGGACAUUACGCGUCGGAAUGUCGUGGAAAAGAUCGUGACGAUGAAGCUCAUCUAACUUGUGCAGUCGAAGAAGAACCGGCUUUGAUGAUGGUCGUGUCCCAGGAGGUGACACGCACUAGAUGUGAUCAGGAGGAUGCCAUACUACUCAGCAAAGAGCGGUGUUGCCAGAGAUGUAUUGCAACGACAAGAAUGGAGAAAGUAAUGAUGUUUGGUAUCUUGACAACGGUGCUAGUAACCACAUGACUGGCCACCGUGAGAAGUUCCAAGAAUUAGAUGAAAGCUUCACUGGGAGGGUGAAGUUUGGCGAUGGAUCAACCAUUCAGAUCAUGGGAAAAGGAACAGUCAUGUUCGAGUGCAAGAACGGUGAUCAGAAGGCUCUCCAAGAGGUGUAUUACAUUCCAAAAUUAUGUAGUAACAUCAUAAGCCUCGGACAAAUGACAGAAAACGGAAACAAGGUGCAAAUGACAGAAGAUAUCAUGAAAGUGUCUGACAAGAGUGGAAAGCUUUUGAUGUCGGUGAAGCGAACUCAAAAUCGUUUGUACAAGAUAACUUUGAAGACACUCAAGCAAGUCUGCCUUCUGACAAGCCUAGAAGAUCCGACAUGGUUAUGGCACGUGAGACUUGGUCAUGUAAAUUGUCAAGACUUGAAGCUCAUGGAGGAGAAGAAAUUGGUAGUUGGAGUACCACUAGUGACUCAACCGAACAAGUUAUGUGAAGCGUGCGUGAUUACAAACAAGCCAGAUUGCCCUUCCUCCGUCAAUCAACAUAUAGAGCAAAGAAGUCGUUACAACUCCUCCAUGUUGAUAUAUGCGGACCGAUUUCACCAUGUACUCUUGCUGGAAACAAGUAUUUUUUGUUGAUCGUUGACGAUUCCACAAGAUGGAUGUGGCUGUAUAUGUUGGAGGCAAAAAGUGACGCAUUUGAAGCAUCAAGAAAUUCAAACUCUUAAGGAGAACAAGAAGAGUAGAAGAUCAAAACGCUCCGGACGGAUCGAGGUGGUGAGUUCUUAUCUGCAGAGUUCACUCAAUUUUGCAAAAAAGAAGGAAUCGAACGACACCUCACCGCUCCAUAUUCACACACACAAAAAAUGGCAUUGUAGAGCGUCGUAACCACAUUGUAAUGGCGAUGACGAGAUCACUCCUCAAAAGCAUGCACGUGCUUUCAAAAUUUUAGGGAGAGGUAGUGAGACACGCAGUUUAUUUGUUAAACUGUCUUCCAAAAAGGCCCUUGGAGAACGCACACCAUUUGAAGCUUGGAUAGGGAGAAAGCCACAUCUUGCACACUUGAGAGUCUUUGGUUGUGUGGCAUAUGUAAAGAACACAACCCCUCACCUCAAGAAACUCGACGAUCGAAGCUCACCGGUGGUAUAUUUUGGUGUCGAAGAAGGAUGCAAAGCUCAUCGCUUAUAUGACCCAGACCGUCAAAAACUACAAAUUAGUAGAGAUGUUUUUCAAGAGAAUCUUGAAUGGGCUUGGAACGAAGUCAUUAGUGACGGUAAGGAGAUUACAGAGUUUCAGGUGAUGGACCAAUUUUAUUCUGACAAGUUCGAAAACUUGGAGGAUGUAGAAACUAGGGUUGAAAAUGCCUUACCACAUGCAACUGAGAUACCUAUGAUUGGAGAGACCAGUUCAUCUCCUCCAUCGACGAACACAUCGGUUCGUCUAAGAUCUCUCAGUGACAUCUACGCCAACACAGAGAAAGUUGUAGGUGGUAAUGAACAAGAGAAUGAGGUGAUGAUGGUAGUGUCUGAAGAACCGACUUGUUAUCAAGAAGCUGUUACAGAGGCCUGUUGGUACCAAGCAAUGGAGAACGAAUUAAAAUCCAUUGAGAAAAACAACACAUGGAGUCUGACUGAGCUUCCACUAGGACAUAAACUGAAGAAAGACCCUAAUGGAGAAGUUGUCAAGCACAAAACAAGAUCGGUUGCUAAAGGCUAUGUAUUACAAGGCAUUGGCUUUGAAGAAGUUUUUGCACCGGUUGCAAGACUUAACACCGUUCGAGUCAUUCUUGCAUUCGCUGCAAACCAAAGUUGGGAGGUACACCAUCUAGAUGUGAAGUCGACAUUUCUCAAUGGAGAAUUGGAAGAGGAAGUAUAUGUUACUCAACUGGAGGAUUUUGAGGUUCCAAAUGAAAAACACAAGGUGUAUAGAUUGUCAAAGGCUCUUUACGGAUUGAGGCAAACUCCACGAGCUUGGAACAUUCGACUUGAUAGGAGUCUCAAAGAGCUUGGUUUUGAAAAAUGCACUCAAGAGCAAGCAGUCUACACAAGAAGAGAAGAAGAAGAAUGUGUUCUUGUUGGAGUGUAUGUUCACGAUCUCAUUGUAACAGGAAGUAGCACUGAAAAGGUCAAUAAGUUCAAGCAGCAAAUGGUGGCAGAAUUUGAAAUGAGCGACUUAGGUCUUCUCUCUUACUACUUAGGAAUUGAAGUUGAACAACAGAAGAGUCGAAUCCUGCUAAAACAACCAACUUAUGCUAAAAGAAUUUUGCCCCAGUUUGGAAUGACUGAUUGCAAUGCCACAAAGUACCCGAUGGAACCCAAGGCACAACUUCACAAAGACAGGGAAGGAGCACCAAUUGAUGCUACAGAGUACAGAAGCAUCGUUGGUUGUCUUAGAUACUUACUGAAUACAAGGCUAGAUCUUUCAUAUGCUACAACCAUGCAUUACAAGGUGGUCAAGCAAAUACUUAGGUAUUUGAGAGGGACAAUUCAUUUUGGGCUCACUUAUAGGAAAGGCCCCAGAGAAUUCAAUAUAUUCGGUUACUCUGACGGUGAUUUAGCCAUUGAUCUCGACGGGAGGAAAAGCACAAGUGGAAUGACAUUCUACUUAAAUGAAAGCUUGGUUUCAUGGAAUUCGCAAAAGCAAAAAACGGUGGCACUCUCAUCUUGCGAUGCCAAGUUCAUUGCAACCACUACCGCAGCUUGCCAAGCAUUGUGGUUAAGAUGCCUUGUUAGCGAGAUAGUCGGAAUGGAGCCAAGGCCGGUAACAUUAUUUGUGGACAACAAAUCGGCGAUAGCUCUCAUGAAGAAUCUCGUAUUUCAUGGUCGCAGCAAGCACAUAGAUACACAUUUUCAUUUCAUUCGAGAGUGUGUCGAGAAUGGACAAAUUAUCGUUGAAUUUGUCAACACUGAAGAACAACGAGUCGAUGUUCUGACUAAAGCAUUGACGGGAGUAAAGUUAGCUGCUAUACGUCAGCUACUUGGUGUUCGUAAUUUAGAAUCAUGUCAGGAUUAGGGGGUAGUGUGGGCUAUUAUAAUCUAUCAUGAUCUCCCUUUAGCAAGCACUAAGUUAGUGGGUUACUAAUUUUUGCUUCCUUUUUAGACUAUGAAUAUUAGUCCAUUAAAUUGAAUAAAUGCAAGAAGUUCCAUUUAAUUUUCUUUCCCUCUUGGCAAUAUAUCUUACAAAAUAUUUAUAUUAGUUUUCUUCAAAAAGAGUAUGUGAGAUUUUACAGAUCAUUUGUUUUAAAACCAACAUAUUAAAAAGAACGAACCCACGCUAUAAUCUAAUAUAGAUGUGAAAUUUUUACUAUUUUAUUCUAGUGGAACCUGUAAAAGGGAUAUAUCAUUAUUGUUGAGUAUGUUUAUAAAUCAAAAUUUUAUUGUGGUAAAAGAAAGACAAUGCAAUACUUCACUCUAACAGUAGUAGCAGAGCUAGCAAAGAUUUCAAUGUGUGUGUAUGAACUCCAAUGUAUAUUAGCAAGUCUCUCCAAGUCUACACAUAAUAUUAUGUAGGUGAAGAUGAUACUUUGCCAAUACUUCACGUAAGUAUCACCAGACGAAAUAUAUGUUAAAAGUUAGAGAAAAAAAAAAAGAUUGAAACAAGACUUGAAAAAAUAUAGAAUCAUUCUAGUCAUUGACUUAAUCAGAUCGUCACCACAUCCUAACUUGUAUAGAAUAAAGAACCAAAGUCCCUCUCACCAUAAUUAUGAGAGAAAAAUGUAACUUUUAAGUCAUUCUACCUGUAAAUAUAUAUACAUGUUAUAAUAAGUGAAAUUUUCAAAUGUAGUAAAAUAAAUAAAUAAAUAAUGACAUGGAUAGAAGCCUACAAGUAUCUAUCAAUGUUCUAUCAUUCAUAGAAUCUUAAAUUCUUUUAUAGUUUGUAAAUAUUUUGUCAAGUUUGACAACUUUCCCUUGUAAUAACGGCACAUGAAGUAACUUGAACUUGAAUCAAUAACUUCUAGCUUCUAUAUCUUACAAUUUUCUAAUUUUAACUUUUGGAAUCAAAACUAUUUUUCUGUGUUUUGCAUUUUUUUUUUCCUUGUAUGAUCCUCAAAUUGUAAAUUUACCAUUGAAUCUCAUAACCUUAUGUGAUGAAUUUUUUUUUUAAUGGUCAGAUUUUGACAUCUACAAUAAUACUACAUUCUAAUUAACUAGGUAUAAUAUGUAUCUAGCUAGCUAGUUAAGUCAAACCCAACAAAAAUUUCUUAUUUAUGAGGAUGGUAUGGUGCCAUCAAUGAUACGAUCUAUUUUUAAGUAGAAAGACAAAGUUUAUAUAAAUGUAAUUGUAGCUACAUUAUUACAAAAUGAUGAACAAAUAGCAAACUUACCUUAAUUAUUACAACAACAUAUAACCCAUAUUCAAUUUCAUUUAUUGGUGAAUCUAUGCCCUUAGUUUUGUCAUUAUUGCCAUUGAGGACAUAUAUUUUCAUCUUUUUCAUGUGUAUUUGUGAAGCUACUUUCCCUCUUUCCAUUAAUUUUUUUUCCUUAAAAUUUCCUCUGACAUUUUUGUCCUUUAAUUGAUUCAAGUUUUUUUUUUUCUUCUGAUUUUCAAGAAGUCUUGUGUUGAUUUAUCUGAAUUUCCAUUGCCUUGUCUUUCUCUCAAUUUGUCUUUCCUCUCAUUAGCUGAUGAGAUGAUUAGACAUUACAAGCUUUAAAAGCUAAUCAAAAGAGACAUAAAGUAGAGGGAAAUCAGAGAGAGAAGAAAGGGAAAAAACACAAGAGCACUUUUUUUUUUUUUUCUUCAUUUGGAUUUCUAAGGGAAAAUGUCCCAUUUUAUUCAUAUUAUCUACCAUUCCAGCUACCUUCAACAGAAGAACUAUAUACUAGAUGAGGAAACUGCAAAACUAAACAAUUUUUUUGUGUUAUAUUCGUUGAAAUGUAGAUGGGAAUAAUAAAAAACUAUUAUUAUUAUUCCAAAUUAAACAUAUAUAUAUAUAUAUAUAUAUAUAUAUUAGUUUCUCAUUAAACUUGAUAUAAGGUUUUUUCUUUAUAAUAAAUAUAAGACAUAAGUAAUUUUGGAGCUACGAGAAAAAUAGAAAGAAAAAAAGAAAAAACAGAAGUCAAAGUUUUGAGACAAAGCCAAAAAAGUUCAACCAUCCCAAAUGAAUGCAAGGAAACAAAUCUAGGAGCGGCACGAAUAGAGUGUGGGUGAGAUGAUUGGCCAUCUUGCCAAAAGGUUGGCCUCGACCAACUCGUUUGUCCAACUUAGCCAUUUGACUCAAAAUGCUCACUUUGGCCUAUAUGAUGCUAAGAACAACAAGUGUUUUGAAACAGUUCACCAAUACAAAAAUCAAUCCAACCUUCUAAAGUUCUAUACAUAAAUAGGAUAAGAACAAUGAUAACUCCAUAUCAGGUAAGUUUAUCUCAUUCUAGCUUAGAAUUUGUUGUGACGUUCGUGUCUUAAGUAUCAAAGUGUUUGUGACAAUUAACAACGUAUAGUACAACAGUGUGUCGUUCUUGUUGUUUUGUAUGCAAUCUCUUCCCAACAUGCACAAUAUUUAAUUAACAUUAUUACUAUUACGUGAUUAUAACGUUACAAAUACAUUUUUGAAUGUCAGAGUUAAAUAAUUGUAAAUAAGGUGUAAAUAAUAAGUAAAAUUGUAUAGGAUAUAUUGAAUUAUUUAAGAUUUAUUUACCAUUAUAGCCUAAGAUGAGUAUAAUUUAGAAAUAAAAUUAGGAGUGAAAAAGAAUAAUAAAAUAGUUUUGGAUGGAAAGUUAAAAUGUGGUAUUUGAGGAAAUGAAGAAAAGAGAAAAUUGGAGUUGGCCCCAUUAAUUACACAAAGACAUAAUUUAUGCAAAUCAGAUCAGCUCAAAAUACGCUGCUUCUCAUUGCCUUCCCUCGGUAUUCACUCUCACUAACUUCAUCAUAUUAUUUCUUUAAUUUCCUUCACCUCAUCAUCAUCAUAUCUCAUUAUUCAUUACACAAUUAAUAAAAUUAUAACAUCAAUCGUCAAUCAAAUCUCCAAACUUAAUUCACUUUAAUUACUACCUUUAUUUCAUAUUUCAACAUUAACUAUACAAUUAUCUGUAUUGAUUUUUUCAGUUAUUAGUUGUUGCAUUUUAAUCAAACUUACUGAUAUUAUUAAAAUAUAUCUUCAAUUUGUUGGGAGCUAUAAAUAUAUGGUUUUAUUUAAGUUUAUUUUCUAAUAGUAUGAAAUAUAUAUCAUAUUGAUUGAAUAAAAAAUAAUGAAUUAAAUUUAUUAUAUUUAUAAAGAUUUUAAACAGUUUUAUUAUUGUAUGAUAAUUAGUAUGGUAGAGAAUAAAAAUUGGGAGGUAAAUAGAAAGUAGGUUUAAGGGAAAAAGAAGCAGUUGGUUGAAAAAGAAAAGAAAAAAGAAAACAGGGGUUGGAUCAUUUGAUGAAAAAGAGUUAAAAGUUAGUUGAGAGUCAGUCUUCUAUCUUACAUCCAAUAUCUAACAGUCAACCCCUACCAGUCUCUUUCUUUCUUGCUUUCUUUCUCUCUUUCUCUCUCUUCUCUCUCUUUCUCUCUUCUCUCUCUCUCUCUAAAUUUUAUUUCCAAAUUAAAUACUAAAUAAAUAAAACAGUGAUAUAUCUGUAGCUAAGCUAGAGAGAACGACAGCAAAUUCCCAACUGAGGUCACCCAAACCCAAAUUUGUUGUCAUCUCCUUUAAAUUAAAUCUCAUCUCCUUCUUCAAUUCAUUCAUCUCUCCCAUCUCCCAUGGGUGCCGACAUGUCCAACAACAACAAUACCAAUAAUCCUCUUGCUUUCACCAAAGACUUCUUCUCUUCUCCGGCUCUUUCUCUUACCCUUGUAUAUAUCUUUUUUUCUUUUCCUUGGCUUAUAUAUACAUAACUUUCAUUUUUUGAUUGAUUAUUCUGACUUGGGUUUUAAUUUUUUUUUUUUUUUUUUUUGAUCUUUUGAAAUUAAUUAGGCGGGGAUAUUUCGACGGAGUGAUCAUGAGGUGGGGAUGUGGAGAUGGAGGAAGUGGAUGACGGGAGCGUGGGUGGAGCCAGGAGAGAUAAUCAUGAUACCAUGACAGCGGAAGUUAGUAGUGAGAAUUCGGGACCGGUGGUGAGGUCUAGAUCGGAGGAGGAAGAGGAGGAGGAGGAGGAGGGAGGAGGCAGGAUGAUCAGGAGAAUGAAUUAGUAGAUCAUGGGUGUCAGUUAAAGAGAAGGAAGAAAUAUCAUCGCCAUACCACCGAGCAGAUCAGAGAAAUGGAGGCGUAAUAUAAUUAAUUUUAAUAUUCCAAUCCAAUUCAUUCUUUUCCUUUUUUCCUUCUUGAGGGGUGUGGGGUGUUGAAUAAUUAAGUUUAUGUGUAUAGGUUGUUUAAAGAGUCGCCACAUCCAGAUGAGAAACAAAGGCAGCAACUCAGCAAGAGAUUAGGACUUUCACCAAGGCAGGUCAAGUUUUGGUUUCAAAAUCGUCGAACCCAAAUCAAAGUAAGAANNNNNNNNNNCCCAGCAGUUUGGUCAGCCAUUUCUGAAAUUGGGGUUGUACUUCCCUCUGCUCAAGGAGAAAUUUCAAUGCCUUUUGAUCUGAGAUAAUUGUAAACUUCCUUCCUAAUAGAUAAUGACGCCAUUUCUGCACUGAUAAUACUACAGCCAUCAGUUCUCUUUCGUAAAUGGACUUGGCCUGAGCUCGUGUCGACAAUUUCUGGCUGAAGAAGGCUAUGGGGUGACCAUUCUGUGAAAGUACAGCUCCCAAUCCUGUCCCUGAAGCAUCUGUUUCGAUUAAAAAAGGUAGAUCCCAAUUCGGCAGUGCUAGCACCGGGAUAGUAGUCAUGGCCAUCUUUAAUUUUUCAAAAGCCUCGGUUGCUUGUUCAUCCCACGCAAAAGAAUUCUUUUGCAACAAUCUGGUCAAGGGGGCUGCAAUUUCUCCGUAUCCUUUCACAAACCUACGAUAAUAGCCCGAUAAUCCCAGAAAUCCUCUCAGACCCGUGACAUCUUUCGGCUGAGGCCAUUUCACCAUGUCUUUGAUCUUCUCCUCAUCAGCCUGUACUCCUUUACUCGAAAUUAUAUGCCCCAAAUAUUGGAUUUUGGAGUGAGCUAUGACACACUUCUUCUUAUUUGCAAAUAGAUGGUUAUCCCUCAACACUGCAAAUACCAUCCCUAGAUGUUUCUCAUGUUCUGAUAUAUCCUUGCUAUAUACAAGUAUAUCAUCGAAGAAUACCAAUACACACCUUCUUAAAAAAGGUUUGAAUACCUGAUUCAUCAAGGACUGGAAGGUGGCUGGUGCGUUUGUAAGACCGAAGGGCAUUACCAGAAAUUCAUAGUGACCCUCAUGUGUUCUGAACGCGGUCUUCUCAACAUCUUCCUUCUGCAUCCUUAUUUGAUGGUAACCGGACUUCAGAUCUAGUUUUGAGAAAACCGUGGCUCCAUGUAAUUCAUCCAGCAGUUCUUCUAUCACUGGGAUAGGAAAUUUGUCCGAUAUGGUUACUUGGUUGAGUUUCCGGUAAUCUACACAAAAGCGCCACCCUCCAUCUUUCUUUUUGACCAAUAAAACAGGGCUGGAGUAAGGGCUAUGACUGGGACGUAUCACACCUGCUUGCAGCAUUUCCACCACCAAUUUCUCAAUUUCCUCCUUCUGUACAUAACCAUAUUUAUAUGGUCUGACAUUGAUGGGCCUUUGGUUCGGUAAAACCAAUAUACGGUGAUCUAUUUCUCUCUUAGGGUAGUUUUUUUGGAUCCUCAAAGAUGUCUGCAUACUGUUGUAACAGAUUUUUAAUCAUUGGAAUCUCUUCCUCGUCCCCUUUCAUUUCCUGCUCCGCUUCCACCUCCGUGUCUACUUCAUACUUUUGGAAUUCCAACAGAAAACCCUGAUCUUCAUUUUCCCACGUUUUCUCAAUGGUUUUCAGGGAACAUUCUGCUUGGAUGAGGGAUGGGUCUCCUUUCAAGAUAAUUUUCUGUUUGCCAACCAGAAAGACAUUGUUAGAGAUGGCCAAUGUAUCUUCAUGGUGCCUGUUGUAUCCAGCCACUGCAUACCCAAUAUUACAUCCACAUUUCCCAACUCAAUAGCAAAAAAAUCAGCCACCACCACCACCCCUUGUAGUUCCAAUUCCACUCUCUUGCAAACACCCUUGCCUGUACACUUGGUGCCAUCUCCAAUUGUAACUGCAAACGGGUUACCUUUUUCCAGAUAUAAGUUCUUUUCCUUUACUGUCCGGUUAUGUAUAAAAUUAUGGGUUGCUCCACUAUCAAUCAGCACUAUCACUCCUUUGCCCUUUAUAUUUCCCUUCAGCUUCAUCGUUCCCUUCGAUGCCAUCCCAUGGAUUGUCUUCAAUUCUAUUUCCUCCCCUUCAGCAAAAUCCAGAUGGUUUAAUUCCACUGUUUCCCCUGGUUCCUCUUCCAUCUUGCCUUCCUCUUCCUUGCUCUCCUCUUCAUUCAUGAUAAAUAACAUCAGCUCCCUUUUUUCCUUCACUCUACAUCUGUGCCCUGGUGUAUAUUUCUCAUUGCAUUUAAAACAUAGGCCCUUAUCCAAUCUGGACCUGAAUUCUGCGUCUGAAAGUCGUUUGAUAGGAGGUUCACUUUUUUGAUAACUACCCUUAAUAGGUAUAGUUACUUGUUUUAUGGGGAAAUCUGUCCUCCUCAUGUAGCCUUUGUCUGUUCCAUCUUGGAUUUUUCCUGCAUACUCUUCUUUUUUCUUUGGUUCCACUGUCCUGCCCUCGGUCUUAGUCAAUUUCAUUGCUACAUUCCGAUCAUUGACUAGUUUAGCCUCCCUCAUACAAUCUUCCAAUGUUCGAGGGAAACGACUAACGACUUCUGCCUGAAGAUUGGGUUCCAGACCGGUCAGAAAAGCAUCUCGUAACACACUUUCCUCCAUGUGAGGGAGGGGAGCUGAAUAUGUGACAAAUUUCUUCACAUACUCACUGUAGGAUCCAUCUUGUUGAAUCCUAAUCAAGCGUGCCACUAGACUUGUUUGUCCCGAGUCCUUGAAGAAAUCAAACAUCCUCCCUUUCAAAUCUUCCCAUGACUCUACUUUCUUCCUAUUAUGCGUCCACCUGUACCAGUCCACUUCCUCUUGCCCAAAACUGACCACCGCCACUCUGAUCUUCUCGUUUUCUGGCAGGUUGUUCAUCUCAAAGAAAUGUUCUGCUCUAUAUACCCAGGAUACGCUCUUCAUUUGAUAAAUACUAAGUAAUUCCGCUUGCAAAGCAGCUCUAGAAUUCAACUCUUCUUGAUUUAAUCCAAUCAACUCAGCCACAAAUCAUAUUUUUCUAAUUUUGACAUCAAGGAUUUCUCUGUUUUUUUUUUUUACCUUAGCUUGCGCAGCAAUAUUCCAAGCUUUUACUGCCAAUUUAACUGAUCUCAACUGCUCAUGAAGAAUGAAACCAGCCCAUCCCUGGAAGUUAGAGUUGCUCACUGUUUCAACAAUAAUCUGAUUAGAAUCACUGGACACCAACCAGCUGUUACAAAACCGAAAAGGAGAGGGACCCCAAAGAAAAGAACCAGCCUCCAAGAAUAAAGGAAAGUGAUCCGAGAAGAUGCGUGCUUUUCGAGAAACCCGAGAAUUUUCAAAACAAACAUCCCACAUCUGAUUUAUGAAGAAUCUGUCUAAUAAUGAUCUUCAAGGAGAACUACCGUCUCUAGACCAAGUGAACCUUCCAUUUUGCAAUGGAAUUUCCAUGAGAGAAACCAUGUCAAUAAACUUAUUGAAUAAUGACAUUCCUCUAGUACUUCUGCCAAAAGGAAAUCUUUCCGGGCCCAACGAGUGAUAUUAAAAUUCCCACCUAUGCACCAGGCCACGGCCGAACAAUCAGCUAAGGAAGACAAUUCGGGCCAAACCAAUUUCCUUUCUUUGCAACCACAAGGGCCAUAGACAUUUGUGAUCCAACAAACCUUUUUGCACAAAGUGAGGCAUUUGAUUGACAAAGAGAAGCGUCUUUUAAUGACCUCUGUUACAGAUAUUUUACUGCUGUCCCACAUGGUAAGAAUUCCCCCAGAAGAUCCAACAGAAGCCACAUAAUCCCAGCCAAUAUCCUUAGAACUCCACAAUGAUUUUAUAAAAGCCGAGUUCAAGGUAUCCUUCUUAGAUUCUUGAAUCAUGACUACAAUUGUUGAUGAAUUUUUUAAGUGCUGCACGUUUAGAGGAGUCGUUCAAACCCUUAGUGUUCCAGGAGACAACCUUAAUAAUGACUGGGAGGAGGAAAAGGCAGUUGCACAUCUAAUUUAAGCCAGAAUGAUUCCACAAUCGCCGACUAUAGACACUAAAUCUUUAGGCAAAUCCAGGGGAAUUUUAAUAGGGAGAAUAUCUUCAUCAUUGACAUUCAGAUCCAUCCCAUUAAUUUCUGGGACUAAUUUAGGGUCAACUUCAGUGUUGGGGACUGCCAAUUUAACUGAUCUCAACAGUAAGUUGAUUAAGUUGGGCAGUAGGAGGGACACGAGACAAGGCAUCUGCUGCUUUGUUUUCUAGUCCCGGUUUAUACACGACAUCAAAAUUGUAGCCAAGAAGCUUAGCAAUCCACCUCUGAUGUUGAGGUUGGAUAACCCUUUGUUCCAAUAAAAGUUUCAAUGAUCGUUGAUCAGUUUUCACUACAAACCUCCUGCCAAAAGAUAAGGUCUACAGCGUUGCACAGCCAAAACUACAGCCAUUAAUUCCCGUUCAUAAACUGGUUUAGCACGAUCCCUCAUAGCUAAUGUCUGGCUAAAAUAAGCAAUUGGCCGAUGAUUUUGAAUUAAGACAGCACCUACCCCAUAUCCAGAAGCAUCGGUCUCUAUUCAAAUGUAAGGAAAAAUCUGGCAGUGCUAAGAUUGGGAGAGUCAUCGUAGCCAUCUUUAAAUUCUCAAAAGCUUCAGCAGCUGCAACAGUCCAUUCAUAUGCUCCUUUCUUCAAUAAUUGAGUCAAAGGAGUAGCCACACUUCCAUAAUUCAUUACAAAUCUUCGAUAUAUCCUGUCAACCCAAAGAAAUCCACGAACUUCACGGACAUUAGUGGGCACGGGCCAUUCUUUGAUAGAUCUAAUUUUCUCGGGAUCAACCUCUACACCCUUUCCCGAAAUUAUAUGGCCAAGAUACUCCACUUUCAUUUUGGCAAACCCACACUUGUGCAUAUUCAAUAUAAUUCUCUCGCAGCACCUCUAACACAUUCUAAAUGUUGAAGAUUUUCAUCCAAACUUCUACUGUAAAUUAAUAUAUCAUCAAAAACGACUAAGAAAACCUGUGUAGGUAAGGUUUAAAGAUACUAUUCAUCAAAGCUUGAAACGUUGAUGGUGCAUUGGUGAGCCCAAAAGGCAUGACAAGAAACUCAUAAUGCCCCUCGUGAGUUCUAAAAGCUGUUUUCUUCAAAUCCUUUUUACACAUUCUAAUUUGAUGAUGUCCCGCCUUGAGAUCAAUCUUCGAAAAUAUAUUAGCCCCAUUAAGUUCAUCAAACAAUUCCUCUACUACUGGAAUAGGAAACUUGUAUGGAACGGUCACACUAUUCAACGCACGGUAAUCUACACAAAACCGUCAACUACCAUUUUUUUUUCACCACAAGACCGGGCUCGAAUAUGGACUAGUACUAGGUUUUUAUGCCAAAUGCCAUCAUUUCAUCAACCAAUCUUUCCAUCUCCUCCUUUUGCUGGUAUGCAUAUCUAUAAGGCCGAACAUUGACUGGAUUAGUCCCCUUCUUAAGAUGUAUAUGAUGUUCAAUGGUACAUUGUGGUGGCAACUCUCCAGGCCAACCAAAAACAUCUUCAUUCUUAGCUAACACGGCUUUGAAAAUUCAACCAAAAACAUCUCCAGGCCAACUCUCCAGGUUAUGAGUUAUGAGCUUAUAGUUUAGCCGUGUUAGGUCGUUUUGAAAAUUCAAGUGAUACUCCAAGGUUAUUCUUGGAAUAUUCUUUUACAUUAUAUUUGUUAAAUCACUAUUUAGUUUAUUAAGAGCUUGAUAAAUAACCACUAAACUAAAACCAUAGAGGAUAAUUGAUAGACCAUAGUACAUGUUCUAUCACUAACUAACCGACGGUAAAACUUUGUUAUAUUUGUGAAUAUCUUCAGCAAUUUUAUCAUUUAAGACAAUUUUUCGUAUAAUAUCGACAUGAACAUCGUAAGAAAACUCAAAUUAAGUAAGUUAAAUUAAAAAAAAAAUUGUAUGAAUGUUUUGAGAACCAUUAAUUAUAAAUUCAACAUUUUUGAAUGAAAAAUUGGAUUGGUUUGUGGUGACGGCUAACAUGCAUGUCUAACAAUUAUUUUCAAUUUCUAAUACUUUCAUCCAUUGCCAAAGUUGGAAACUAAUGUUCACAAUUUUUUUAUCUUAUUAAAUAAAUUUCACAUUUCUUGAAAAUUUUGGAUUAUAAUUAUUUGAAAAACAAAAUAUAUAUUUUUUGCUUUAUCGUUACUGAAAAUUUUAUCUCAAUUUUUGCAGUAAAAUUUGAUUUUUUAGUCUAAAUUUUAAAAACAAAAUAUUUGUUUUAGUUAUAAAGAAAUUGUUUUGGAUUUUAAAUGGGUUUUAUCACAAAUAAUUCAAAUAUAUUUUAAUCCCUCAUCUCCCCUUCUCUCUCACUCACGUUUCAAAUUUCUUCCCCUACUUCUUCUCUAACGGCUAUCUCUCUCUCUGCUUUCUCGUCCUCUCCCCUUCUCUCAUCUUCUUCGUCUUCCUCAAAAUCGCCGAUUCACGGCCAUCUUCUUCUCCUACCCUAACAGCGCCGGAUUUCUCAACUGUCGAUCGAGUGACAAUCGUGCCUGCCUGCUUGACAAAGCCUUUUCGGUCUACCAAUAAAGGAAAAAAAACGAUUGCUGGUGACACGAAAGCUGUGCUCAACGCUCUUUUUCCUAUUCCACUGCACGUCGUGGUCUUUCCCUUGCUGGUUGGAUGACUACUAUGGACGAAGAGCACAACUACUUCCAGUCUCUGGUCGAUAAGUACCCAAGGAAGGUAAAUUCCAGCGGAGAAAGUCGAGAGCUCCUUAGUUGAUCACAAAUCCUUCCAAAUUCUUUGUUCGUAGACUAAUUUGAAAUCCUUCCAAUAUGGAUCCAUGCUGUCUUUUAUAUCCAUAAGAUACCAAUUAGAUUGUGUUAAUUAUUGUUUAUAAGAAAAUAUUUGUGUGCAGAGUUGCAGUGGGUAAAUCUUAAUGGCUGGCAGAAAAUUGGUUCGGGAUAUAUUACUCUCAAGACAAAGUUUUUUAUCAGUUUACUUCCCAUGGGGUAUUUGCUCUUCCUAUGCUUUAUCCUUAUCGCAUCUUUCUCCGCUGUAGUCUUCAUAGGAUGGAUUUCUGUGGUGUAAAUUUAUUCAUCUAGUUUGUUUGAUUUUAUGGUUGCAUUUAGGGAGAAGGUAAAUUACAUAAGCCACAGUAGUUAUGGAAAAAAUCUCCAAUUUACAGCAAGUUAAAGAAAAAAAAAGAAGAGAAAAACAGCAGUUAAAAAAAACUGGGCAUCUUGCUUCUUUCUUAUUGAAAGUUCUGCCGUUUCUUUCAAGUCAAAUUGACCAUAAAAUGCUCAAAUGAGAUUUUUCAAUAGGAAUAUGUAAAAAAAAAUAUAAUAUGUAAAAGAAUUUUUGUGAAACGUGGGAGAGAAGCGAUAACAUUAUCCUUCAAAAAAUUCAGGAGUAGUAAAUAUUUAUGUGAAAGGACAUAUUAUAAGCCACAGUAGUUAUGGAAAACAUCUCCAAUUUACAGCAAGUUAAAGAAAAAAAAAGAAGAGAAAAACAGCAGUUAAAAAAAACUGGGCAUCUUGCUUCUUUCUUAUUGAAAGUUCUGCCGUUUCUUUCAAGUCAAAUUGACCAUAAAAUGCUCAAAUGAGAUUCUUCAAUAGGAAUAUGUAAAAGAACUUUUGUGAAACGUGGAGAGAAGCGAUAACAUUAUUUCUUAAAAAUUCAGGAGUAAAUAUUUAUGUGAAAGGACAUAUUAUUUGGCCAUUUGACCUUAUUUGGUUGGAAAUGAUAAACUACACAUUAUUGUUUGCUUCAGUUGUGAUCUUGAUUAUGGGCUAUUUGGUAUUUUGCCUACAAACUGUAUAGUUAAUUAUCUGUUAGCUUUUGUUUUCCUGUCACAACUUUAUGUUUAUGUGGCUAAUUGUAGCCGAAAGUUUUAUUUAUCAAUCUUAUUUUUCACAGCAUAAAUGAAACUGUGUUUCAAGAACAAGGUGCUGCUACAUCAUUCAAGGAAAUUCGUCGUAGAGGUCCGUAAGUUUUUUCCUUUGGAGAUGUGAUACUAACCUGUUUGAAUAAAAGAAUCUGACUUGGUCUUUUCCUCUUUAACAUUAUGGAUUAGGUCUUUCUCUUUACCAGAUUUCGUAGCUGAAGUUUAUGAAGUAAUCAAACCGGUGUUAACUUCUUAUAUAAAGGUUAGUGCUAACUGCUAAGCUUAUUUCUAAGAUGAAAGAUGCUUUUAUCCCCUCCCCAAAGAAUAUCAUUACUAUUUAUGUUGUGUUUCUGCUAACUAAUUCUUGCAUAGCAUCUGGUUUGAUAAUUAAAGUAAAGUUUCUGACAUGGAGGUUUUCAAGUUGUAAUAUAUAUUUUUAUGUUUUAGGUAGAUUCCCAAACUUUGAAGAAACACUACAGUACUGAGGUAAUUGAAUGUUGUAAGGCAGAGCAUCGGGCUUACUAGAGCCAAGGUAUCUUCUUCGAUAACAAGGUAAGGAUAGUCUUGAUACUACCUUUCUUUUGUUAUUGAAGUUUAUUGUUCCUUUUGUUGGGGCUUGGUGGUUGUGCACCUAUAUUGAUUUGUACUUCUGUUAAUUAAUUAUAGUCAUCCUCUCUUGUCUGAGUAAUUAUUGUCAACCAUUUUGUUAGCAAAGGCUUCCCAUGGAUAUUCAGUUUGUUGUGCUGCAUGUCCACGAUGAUUUUCGUGAUUUUAGUUCUAGAUACAUAAAAAGGGCCUUUGCAUCACGACAUGAAUGACUAUUUUUUAAUAUGAACCUACAAUACCCCAAAUGAAUGCUGGAUUAAAUUAGAUACAGGGCAGAUAGAGAGUGAGAUGGAGAGUGUUUGUGUGCUUUAGAGCCAUCUGUCCCUAAAACAUAGUUUCUUCCCCCCCCAUAAGAAGUAAGUUUAUUGAUGUAUGUAAUUUACAAAAGGUUUGGUGGAACACCUACAACAAUCUUUUUGAACUUUUUGGUAGGUUAUGAAUUACGAACUUGUAUUGAAUAUUUGUUAGGUCGUUUUAAUAAUUCAAGUGAUGCUUAGAAAAUGCAACCGAGCUUAAACAAUUCUGCACAUUUUACUAAAAUUUUUAGUUUAACCUUUUUAAUAAAAUUCGAUGGAAAUUCUUGUUUUCUUUUUGUAGGAAUAAAGGAAAAUGAAAUAUAACCAAACUUGGGAUCUUUGCAAGCAAGCUUCCAUGAAGAAACUAGGUUACAAGGGGAGGUCUUCUGUUCUCCUUUUUCUUUUUUUCUUUCCAUCCGUAGAAUCUUGCUUAAAAUGCUUUGAGGACAAUGCAAAUUUUUAAGUGGGGGUGGUUGUAGCCUUGCACAUUCCAUGUCCUUUGGGAAAUUUUCAUUUUGCAAAUUUUGCUAAAAAUGUCAAAAUUUAGAAACUUUUGCAAUGCUCUAUGCUUAGAAUAAGUACCAUGUCUACUUCGAUUUUUAGCAUAAAAAAGCAUGUAUGCCUAACCCAUGAGAACGGAGCUCGGAUUUGUGAUUGUAUUUUUAUUUGAAUAUGUUACAUAUGUUGAAAAUGCAUAUAUUGAUAGCUUAGAAAUGAGUAGAACACUUGGUUCAUUUUCUGAAUAUUGUGAAUUAUGUACAUAAUAAUAUGUGCGGUUGUCUUUUUUAUCUCACUUUUAAUCCCCUUUUUUGCCAUAUUCUAAUGCCUUUUUUAUAUUAAUUUUAAAUCCCUCUUUUGGCCAUAAACAUUUGUAUAAGAUUGUUUGAAAGCAAAAUAUGAUUGUUAGGUCAGGUAGAAAGCAAAGUCGGCAAGAUCUUAGAGUUCUUCACCCAACAUAACAGCCGAUAAAAACAAAACAAUACGACCAAGCUGCUAAGGGUUGCAAAACCCACCCUGCCUAGUAGGUCCUUAGAGUUUUUCACCCAACAUGGCAGCCUGUGAGAGGGAGCGAGAAAAAAAGAGGAGCCAAGCCAGCCGCUUAGGUCAAGUAAAACGCGCGCCGAGAUCCCCCGGUUUCAGAAUUUUCGUGGGGAUCCUCUCCGCUUUUCUUGCCUAAGCAAAACCCGAUCCCGCCUAGAGAGGUAGAGAGAAAAAAAAGAGGGAGCCAAGCCAGCCGCUUAGGUCAAGUAAAAUGCGCGCCGAGAUCCCCGGUUUCAGAAUUUUCGUGGGGAUCCUCUCCGCUUUUCUUGCCUAAUCAAAACCCGAUCCCGCCUAGAGAGGUAGAGAGAAAAAAAAGAGGGAGCAAGGCCAGCCGCUUAGGUCAAGUAAAAUGCGCGCCGAGAUCCCCGGUUUCAGAAUUUUCGUGGGGAUCCUCUCCGCUUUUCUUGCCUAAGCAAAACCCAUCCCGCCUAGAGAGGUAGAGAGAAAAAAAAGAGGGAGCCAAGCCAGCCGCUUAGGUCAAGUAAAAUGCGCGCCGAGAUCCCCGGUUUCAGAAUUUUCGUGGGGAUCCUCUCCGCUUUUCUUGCCUAAGCAAAACCCAUCCCGCCUAGAGAGGUAGAGAGAAAAAAAAGAGAGAGCCAAGCCAGUCGCUUAGGUCAAGUAAAAUGCGCGCCGAGAUCGCCAGUUUCAGAAUUUUCGUGGGGAUCCUCUCCGCUUUUCUUGCCUAAGCAAAACCCGAUCCUGCCUAGAGAGGUAGAGAGAAAAAAAAGAGGGAGCCAAGCCAGCCGCUUAGGUCAAGUAAAAUGCGCGCCGAGAUCCCCCGGUUUUAGAAUUUUCGUGGGAUCCUCUCCGCUUUUCUUGCCUAAGCAAAACCCGAUCCCGCCUAGAGAGGUAGAGAGAAAAAAAAGAGGGCGCCAAGCCAGCCGCUUAGGUCAAGUAAAAUGCGCGCCGAGAUCCCCCGGUUUCAGAAUUUUCGUGGGGAUCCUCUCCGCUUUUCUUGCCUAAGCAAAACCCGAUCCCGCCUAGAGAGGUAGAGAGAAAAAAAAGAGGGAGCCAAGCCAGCCGCUUAGGUCAAGUAAAACGCGCGCCGAGAUCCCCCGGUUUCAGAAUUUUCGUGGGGAUCCUCUCCGCUUUUCUUGCCUAAGCAAAACCCGAUCCCGCCUAGAGAGGUAGAGAGAAAAAAAAGAGGGAGCAAGGCCAGCGCUUAGGUCAAGUAAAAUGCGCGCCGAGAUCCCCCGGUUUCAGAAUUUUCGUGGGGAUCCUCUCCGCUUUUCUUGCCUAAGCAAAACCCGAUCCCGCCUAGAGAGGUAGAGAGAAAAAAAAGAGGGAGCAAGGCUAGCCGCUUAGGUCAAGUAAAAUGCGCCGCGAGAUCCCCGGUUUCAGAUCGUUUGUUACAAAAAAACGACAAAAACUCAUUACAUUUAAUUUUGUACUCUAUUAUUUUAAAAAAUAUACUCUUUGAAUGAAAAAACCAACAAACCCAAUGCCAACUAUUCACUAACAACUUCAUUAAGAAUGGGGAGAGAAUGUAAUGCCCCAGUUAAGAUUGUUAAAAAAAUUCAGUGACCUGACCAAUUCAGAUUAACCAACCCAAACCAUAAAUCUAUGGUUAGGUUACAUAUAUUUUGAGUUGGGUUUGGUUGCAGAAUAAAAAAAAAUAUAUAUAUAUAUAUAUAUAUAUAUUUUUGGUCGAUUCUUGGGUUAUAUGACUUAGUAACCUGGUCAACACGAUCCAACUUAGUUUUAUUAUUAUUAUUAUUAUUAUUAAGAAAAUUUUAAAAAAUAUAACAAAACAAUAAAAAAUUUAUGGCAUACGUAACAAAAUCAAAAAGUCCAUAAAGAUGGUCAUUUUAUAAAAAAUAUUCAAGUUUUGUCAUUCCUUUCCCUCUUCUUUCUUUUGCAAUUUUUCUUUUCCUUUCCAUCGUCUUUUCUCUUAUUCAUCUGCAACUUUUCUUUUAUUUUUUUCAAACUGUUAUUUGGUUGUUCAAUAUCGUAUACCAUAUAUAAAGAUCUUUAAGAAAAUUGUUGGGAUUGGCGUCGUUUAUAUUUGGUUAUUUUUUGCUACACGAUUGUUUAGAUUUGAGGAGCCAUAUCUAAACGAUUUUUUUUCAAGAUUUUUUUAUACACGAUUAUUUAGAUUUGAGUACCCAAAUCUAAACGAUCAUGUACCAAAAAAUCUUCAAAAAAAAUCAUUUAAAUUUGGAUAGCCAAAUCUAAACAAUCGUGCACCAAAUCAAAACGAUUGUGUGCUACAUUUAAAUGAUCAUGUACCAAAUAUAAACGAUCGUGUAUCAAGAAAUCUUGAAGAAAAUCGUUUAGAUAUGACUACUCAAAUCUAAACGAUCGUGUAGCAAAGAAUAACCAAAUCGAAAUGAUCAUGUAUAAAAGGAAUCUUGAAAAAAAAUUGUUUAGAUUGGCUACUCAAAUCUAAAUCUAAAUGAUCUUGCUUGGUACAAAACUUGUUCCCAAUAUAUAACAUGCGCGAUUGUCAAAUUAAUCGCGUUUUGAGGGUGACAGUUUUGGUAUUUUUCAUUGUAAGUUUGAGAGUUUUUUUCAUUUUCAAAAUUGUUUUAUAUAGUGAAAAUAUUUUGUCGCUGUGUUAUAAUUUUUAAAACCCAUUAUUAAAAAUUAUUAUUAUUAUAUUUUAUGAAUUUGAAUGUAGACUUAAGCUUUACCUAGAAACAAAAUUUGAACAUAGACCAUAGAUUUUACAUGAACUCAAGUUUCAUGUAUUUGAAGGCAAACACUUGGAUUAUUUUAACUAGAAUUCUUGUUGCUUGUUUUAUUGUACUUUUUAGGUAAUUUAUGUAACUUUUAGUGGAAAAGGAAUUAAAGAAUGAAAAAAAAGUUAAAUUAUGUAAAAAAAAAAAAAACAAAGGCAACCCAGUGACCCAACCUAACCCAACUCGAAAGUGACCCAACCUAACCCAACUCGAAAAUUACGAGUUGGGUUGGGUUUAUCCUUGCACAUGGAACUGAUAGUGUUUAAUUUUUGUUAACUUGAGCACAUGGAACCGAUAUGAUUUAUCCCAGAAAAUGCUAGGUUUUGACAUAGGGAAAGAAGUAACUUUUCAUGAAAAGUCAGUCAAAUUCUACAAUUAUCGUUAAAUAUCAAGAUGAGAAAAAGUGAGAUUUAGAAGCAAAAUAGACAGGAAAUUGCAACUGGUCCAUAUGGAUCACUUAUAGUUUGUGGUCCGGAUAAAGACAGAGAUAUUAUAGAUUCAAAAUAUUAUCUCCAACCCGGUCCAACCUGACUCAUGUACACCCUAACCCUAGUCCCUCGAUUCGAAAAUGAAUUUUGUAAUCGAUGGACCUGGCAUCUUGACUACGAUCCGAAUAAUUGAGUAUCAAAUGUUUUGCUCUUCACUCACAUGCAUCGUAGAAAAAUUUUCAAAAGGUCACCUAUAAAAAUAUGUAAACUAAGCAUGCUUAACUUUAAAAUUAUAUGAUAUCUUUUCAAAUUCUUAAUUUAUAUGAAAGGUUUUUUCUAUUUAUUUCAAUAAUUUUAUUUUUAAAAAACAUGAUUUUAUAUUUAUUGAUGAGAUUUCAAAAGAUUUUGUAACCAUUUAUUUUUUUCACCUAUAUUAUAAAGAUAUCUCUUCAAUCAUUUUCUUAUAAACAUUUGAAUUUUUUAUAAGCUACGUGUGUUUUCCUAUGUCAAAGGUAUAUGUUUUCUUCUUAUAAUAAUUUCUAUAAUUUAAUAUAAUAUAAUAUUGAUUGAUCCAAACUCUCAUCAUUUAUUUUAACUUUGAUUUUAUGUUGAUAUAUAUUUUGGUGUUACAAUAUGUUAAUACUUGUAAUUUUAGAGAAAGUGUUGAAGAAAGAUAUAGUUUAUAGGACAUUAAUUAUCUUUUAAAUAUAAUUUAAAAGAGUUGAAGAAAGAUAUGAUUUUAGAGAAAGAGAGUAUAAAAAUGAUAUAAUAUUGUAGAUACCGUAUUUUGUCCUGCUUUUUAUUUUUUUCAUUAAUUUAUUUAUUAUUUUUUUAAAAGAAUUUGAAUUUGAAUUUAAAUUUAAAUCUUAAUUUUUAAAUUUAUGUUUUAAAACAAACAAAAAUAAAAACAUAUUUAAAAUUAAAUUUAAAAGUAAAGAUUUUUUUUCUUCUCCCUAUUUUUCUCAACCAUCCUCUGUUUUCGUGAGUCACAACCCUCCACUUUCUCCAAUCUCUCACGUUCUCCCACUCUUCCACAUUUCUCUGUACUCCAUUUCACUAUCUAAACCUACUUCACUUCUAUCUAUAAAAAGAGAAUGAGAAGAUUCAAUGGGGGAGGAUUUUUUUUGCUGGAGAAUUAUUUGGUAGAGAAGAGGGACACGUAAAAGAUUUUUUUUUUUUUUGAAGAGGUGAGGAGGAUCAACCCAGAACAUUUUGCAUUUAAGGCAGACCUUGUAAGUUCUUUUUUUUUUUAUUCAUGUUUGAUGAUACUGGCUUAAUUAUUUGGCACCCAUCUGGGUGCUGUCUUAAUUAUUCAUUUAAAUCACUCAUUAAUUAGCUGGUGUUUAAUCAUUUGGCACUCAUUAAUUAGCUGAUGUGUUAAUCAUUGGCACUCAUUUCACAUUUUAAUUAUUUGCAUCAUUUGAAUUAUUUGGCACCCAUUUGACUCUUUGAUUGCUGCCCUAAUUAAUUAGUGUUUUGCAUCUGAUUACACUUAUUUCUGCACAUCUAUUUGGCCAUUUGACUAUUUUGAUGGAUGAGUUCUGCAUCCGUUUAAUUAUUUGGCACCCAUUUGAAUGUUGUGAGUUAAUUAUCUGAUUUGGCAUUAAUUAUUUGGUUAAUUAAUUAGCAUACUGUCAAUGCUAUGUUAAUUAUUUGGUCUGUGUUAAUUUUCUGCAUCCUCGUUAAUUAUUUGACAUCCAUUUGGCCAUUGGAGUAUUUUGAUUGCUGAGUUCUGCAUGCUAAUUAAUUUGACACCCAUUUUGACUAUUUGAUUGCUGAGCUGAUUAAUUAGUUGUUUUGCAUCUAUUUGGCUACUGCCUUAAUUAAUAAGUGUGUUCUUGAUUAAUUAUUUGGCAUCCAUUUGGGUGCUAUGUUAAUUAUUUCAUUUGGUUAAUUAAUUAAAUGAUGUGUUAAUUAUUUGAUUGAUGUCUUAAUUAUUUAACACUUAUUUGACACCAUUUGGCAUACUGAUUUAAUUAUUUGCUAUCUUUUUAAUUAUCUAAGCACCCAUUUUACAUUCUGUGUAUCUAUUUGGUAUCUUGCUUUAAUAAUUAUUAUCCAUUUGGCAUAUAUGUUAAUUAUGCAUUUGAAAAUAACUAUUCAUUUGACAUACUCUUUUAAUUAUGCAUGGUUAAUUAAUUAGCACAAUGUAUUUGACAGUUUUAAUUUUUGACAUCCUCCAUUGUGAGCAUAAUUAUUUUGGCACUCAUUUGGUCUCUUAUGUCAAUUACUCAUUCAAAUUAUUUGUAUUAUGUAUUUAAUCAUUAAAAUUAUUGACAUCCAUUGGCUACUGUGAUUAUUUAUUGAUCUUGCAUUAAACCUACUUUGACACUCUGCAGUUAAUUAUUAUUUCACCCAUUUGACAUCCUCGAGUAAUUAUUUAUUACUCUGUCUGGCAUAAUUAAUUAUUUUGCAUAUUUCUGAAUUAAUUAAUUAUUUUGCAUAUUUCUGAAUUAAUUAAUUAAUUUGCCUAUUUCUGCAUUAAUUAAUUAUUUUUGCAUCUUUUGAAUUAAUUAAUUAUUUUAUGUUUUGAAUUAAUUAAUUAUUUUGUAUCAUUCUGCAUUAAUUAAUUAUCUUGCUUGCUGUAUUAAUUAAUCAUUUUGUACAUUCUGCAUAUUGCUUACAUUAUCCUGUAUUUGUUUUAUGCAUUUAUUUUAUCUCAACAUAUUACCUUUAAGUAUUUUUCAAAUUUCAUAAUGUUUUGCUCAUUGUUAUUAUUCAUUUUCAAUUGAAAUAUAAAAAUGUAAAUUGGAGAAAAGUAUUGUUUUUUAUGGAUUUUAUAAUUUAAAUUCCAUGAAUACAUGAAAUUUUUUCGUUUGAAAUUUAAUUAAUAGAUUAUUUUUAAAUAAACACAUUUCAUAUUUUAAAUGAGACUGAGUAGUGUUUUCAUUCUAGAUACAUGAAAUUUCUCAUUAAACACCUAUGAUAGAGAUUAAAAUAUCAAGUUUUGGUAUCUUAAUAUUCUUAAGGUGAAUAAAAAUCUUUUAAAACAAAAAUAAACUUAAUUUUUCUAAUGGCUCCUAUGCCACCCAUAAUCAUCAAUUCAUGCUUAGGUUUUACUUUCUUUAAAUUGAUAAACAUGAGACAUUUAAACAAAACCUAAAUAAAAACUUUGUUUUGUGAACCCCUAUAAUUUAAUUUAAAAGAUAAAAUUGGGUAACCAUUUUUUGGGUGUUGUAGGGUACUAACACCUUCUCUACACACAACUGACUCCCGAACUUAAAUCUCUCAAUGUACGCAUUUUUUUUUCUUUUUUUUGGUGACCAAUCACAUUUUAAUAUGAUUGGUGGCGAUUCCAAAAUUAUUUAUUAAAAUUAAAUAAACGGGGAGGUCGGCCGCUCCGCGUAGCGAUCACGUCGCGACAAAUAUCAUUUGUUAUAAUAUAAUUUUGUCAUUCUACGUAGUUGAAAAGAAACUAACAGUUCUUUUUUCUUUCUUCAAAUUUAUUUUUUUGGGAUGGUUUGAGUUCAAGUUGAAGGUGGAUUUUCUUAUUUUUCUUUUCUUUUUUGGUUACAUUUUAUUUUAAGAUUUGAAUUGUUCUAUUACAUUAACUUUGUUAAGUCAUUUUCAUAAAAUUUAUUUCUAGAUCACAUUUAGAACCAUAUUUUGUUGUGUACAAUUAAUGUGAAUAUGUGAUCUUAGAUUUUUUCAAACGACAUUCAUAGAAAAUUGUUACAAUGUAUCAAAAAUGAAUAAAAAGUAGAUGUUUUGAGACCCAUUGUUAUGGUUGAAGAGGUAAUUUAUCACUCUUUGUACAUUAAUGUAAUUUACUUACAAAUUAAAACUACACCAUUUUUUAAAAUUUCAUUUUAAUUAUUGUUAGUGCUAAAAAGGAAUGUAACUCAUUUAUCAUCAAAUUGUAUUAAUAUAUAUCCAUGAAGUUCAUAGUUUGAACAAAAAAAGUUGCUCUUAGAGAUAUAUUAUUUUGUUUAAUUAGUAAUAUUUAGAUAUGAAAAGUCAACAAUAUAAUUUUUGUACGUGCAACCCAUGUCAUUAUUUUCUAGUUAUUUCAAGUGCAGGAUCACAAUAAAACAGAGGGUGAAGAUGAUACAGAGAAAAAUGAGGAAAAACAAACCAAUGAAGAGAUUUCAAUUGUGGGUUAAAAAUUCAAAUUUAAAAGAUAUGUAUAGAUCUAAUAUAAAAACUAAUCUUAAUUUCCAAAUUAUUAAAGGUUGAAAUCCAGCCUUAAAGUAAUUUUGAAAUAAAAACAAGGGUUGAGAUUUAGAGAAUAAAAAUUAAUAAUAUGAUUAUUUUGAAAUAAAAAAAUGAAUAAAGUUUUAAAAGUGUCAACUAAAUUGUUAAAUCUCGAGAUAUUACGAAGAAGUUGUGAUAGGGGUUGAAUAUGUUAUUAACACGUCAAAAUUAAUUAACGACUCAUAAGUGCACAAAUUAAUUAUACUGAAAAUACUUUUGAUAAAACGAAUAUAUUAAAAUAAUUACGGUUCGCAAAUGUAGAUAUUUCAUAAAAUACCAUGCAUGUGUGGCACUUUCAAAACCAUGUUAGUUUAUACACAUAUAUAUUACUACGUACAAAAUGCUAUAUUUUUAGGAUAAAUUAAUUUGAAUUUAAUAAGAAACAUUGAGUAAAAGAAAUAGGAAGUUCUCACCAAAACAAAAAUUGAUAAAGUAAUUUACAUUUAAACAACGUUUAUUACUUAAAAUUACACAAAAAUAAAUACAAAACAUUAUGAUUCAAUAUCAUUGUAAUUAUUAUUGUAAAUAUAUAAGUAAAUAAAAAUUCUAAAACAUAUUUCAUAAGUACUUGUUGUAGUCACAGACGCCAUGUGCCUGAAACGAUGGAAGCGGCUGACGUCCUUAAAGUUGGAUAGUUUUAAAACAAAAUAGGAAUCACCAUCAAUCCUUUUUAGAUGUGAUUGAACACUGAAAUAAAGUAAAUAAUUUUUAAAUAAAAUCAUAAAAAAAUUAUCUUCGAAAACUAGAGUUCAGUUCAGGAGUGAUUUGUGUGUGAGUAAUGUGUUAGCAUUCCACAACACAUGUUUAGAAAACAGUGGCCACAUUUCAAAUCUUGAAUUAAAAAUAUUCUUUAAUUUUCUUUUAAAAAACAAUGUCUUAUUUUACCUCUCAUUACUCAAAUAUUUGAAGCAAUAAUCUCAUAAAAUAAGUAGAGAACAUUCAAUCAAUUGAACUGUAUUGGAGAAAAUUUUCUCACCCCAAGAAAGUGAGAAAUUAGUACAAUUUCUCAAAAUCUAUCAUAGAAACAAUCUUCUAAUAAAGAGAUGUUUUUUUAAAACAUUAAUUAAAACCAUUUUUUCUUGGAAUCAAAUCUUGACACUACUCAAAAAAGUGGCUUUCUUGACGUUUUUUAUACGUCAAGUAAUAUUUAUUUAUCCAUGGCGUUUUAAAAACGUAAAGUAAUAUCUAUUAAAUUCUUGACGUUUUAAAAACGUCAAGAAUUUUAUAAGAAGCAGAGUGAAGGUAAAAUUUUCUAAUUUCUUGAUAUUUUUAAAAACGUCAAGUUCUAUUAAAUAAAAAAAAAAGCGUCGUCUCCCUUCUUUAUCGAAUUAAUUGUUUGCCCAAGAAAUCUUCUUCUUCAUAUUUCCAAAUUUCGCAUCUUCUUCUUCUUUACGACCGAGUAUUCAAAAUCUCCACCUUCACAUUGUCGUCACGCUUGAGCUUUCAAAAUCUUCUUCUCCAUGUUGUCGUUCGUCACGCGCCGCCAUCUCUUCACGAUUCUCCGUCUUCAAAAAGCAACCAUCGGUCCUUCACUUGAUCCUCUCGUCUUCGAAAAAUACACCCUCUGUCAUAUGAAAUUGGACAUCUGAAAUCACCGUUCUUAACGUUGGGGAAGCCCUAUCCCACACCCGUUCUUGAAGACAUUCGAAAUUGGUUUUCACACUCGUUCAAAAUCACCAUUCGAAAUCGCCACCAGGGAUUAAUUCCAUCUCUUCACGCCUAUCUCUUCAUUUUGAAACAUACUUGAUGCUUUUGACCACUGACUGAAGUCCUCCAAACAAACACAUUUUGUUCUCUGACCACAAAUUGAAUUAGGUGCGUUCUUCUGUUAAGUUGAUGCUUUAAAACUGUUUUGGAUGCUUAUGAAAUUGUCCUGAGCUUUUUAGUUUUAUGGUUUCUUCAAGAAUUUUGUACUAUCAUUUGCAUCUUUUCUCAGUUUAUCACCAUCAUUUUCAUCCUUUUCCACAUCAUUGCAUUCUUUUAACCUUCAUGGUUAACAAAGAAGAGAUGAGAUUCUACCAAACAUUCUAAAAUGGCGUCUUCCAACUUUUUGUGUAGAAUAAUAUAUGAUACAUAACAUUCUACAGUAUUUAUUUUAAAUCUAAUUUUCUUCAAUACAUAUUGAGAUAAAUAAGUUAAAAAACUACACUUGUUUAAUGACAUACAAGCAUUUUAAGGUAAAAGUAAAACCACUCUGAUUUGAAUGAUUAUGAUGUAUUAUCCAUUGAAAGACUUGGUGUUGUGUUUGUCUUAUCUUCCUCAAGUAUCAUAUAAAAGAUUUUGUACAGAGUAUAGAGUAAUUAAAAAUACAUUUUGCAAUCAAAUAGUGGGAUGAGAAGUAUAAUGAUCAUGCUAUGAUAGGGCAGAUGGUGUUAUUGUGUGUUUUCAGGGAAGAAUGCGCUGUAAGAAAGUGUAUAAAAGAUUCAUAUAUGUGUUCAAAUUUUAAGAUAAGCACAUGAUUAUAUGUCAAGAGUAGAGUAGCAAGAGGAUAUAUGAAGAGAUUUAAGAGAUUAUUGCAAGUGAGGACAAAUAUGCUUUUGGACAUGUCUAUGAGAGGGAGAGUGUUUUAAGUUCUAAUUCUAUGAUUUUUAGAAGACAAGGACAAAGAAGUAGAUAUCCGUUUCUAACAUUUUCAAACUUCACUUUUAAAUUAACCAAAAAGAUAACACAAACAAUUUUUUUUAACUAAUAGACUUGUAAUCGUGUUUAGGAGGAAACUAGUACCUGUGUUAUUGCAAUUUCAAAGGUGUCAAAUGCAUAUGGACCAAGCAACAGAGUUGGGCUUCUUUUAUGAUUUCCCAAAGGAUUUCUUUUGGUUGUGAUGUUUAAUUCAGCUGCGUAAGUAUAUCUUUUCCAAGGUACAACUUAAGUAUUCUCUAUGCUAACGAGUAACCUUUUAAUUGAUUAAUUUUGCUAGGAAGGUCAUUCAUAUUUUCAUGUGGGUUGUGUGGAGAGUGUAUGUGAGACAAUGGCAAGUAUUCAUUUUUCUUUGGAUGUAGUUAUCCAAAAGAUAUUUUAUUUUGGUCUGCAAAUUGUUGAAUAGAAAUUGCUAUCAUAUAUUUUGGCUUUGUUAAACUUGGAACCUAUUACUACAUUUCAAUCAAGUUCCCUUCUUCUCUUCUAAGAUUUUUAUAAGCUUAUUUGCUAGCAAAUAAGUUCUCAAUCGUAGAACGGAAUAGUGGUCAAGUUCUUGGUAGAACGGAAUAGUAGUAAUAUUAUUUAUGGUCAAGUAAUUACUAUUGGAACACUCAUCUUACAUGUAUUUUUAUGUCCCGUCUUUCCAACUAUAGACCAUUUAUACUCAGAAAUAGCAUUUUAUAUUCGAUAGAGAUGUAUUAGGAGAUGUCAGACCUAAUUGUAUGGUUGGUUUUUACCUCUCAAAAUGCAUAAAUUUGUAAAGUGAGAAUAAGGAGAGAGAUGUUGUUUAGUGGUUUUUUAGAAGUUGCUAAUAAUCAAUUCAACUGACGCUGAUAAUUGAUGAAAUUGAUGGAGCCCUAAUGAUGGCAAGAGUGCAGUGGAUUUAAUUCUAAGAUGGUAAACAUAUUUUGUGUUGUUUCCGUGAGAUUGUUUAUUAAAGUUUUCUAUAAUGAGAUCUUAUGACUUAUUUAUCUUGCUUAAAAAAAAGAUAACACAAGUGUUUUUUUCUUAUUGUUAUGGAGGAAGAUUCUAGUGGCAUGGACGUUAAUAAAUUUAAUCAACGUGUUUUUUUAGCUUGACUUCUUCUCCUCCUUUUUUUAAGGGUUGUUGAUAGAUGAUUCACUAAGGGAUAAAGGGCACUAUAUUUAUGUGAUUAUGUAUUAUAGGGUGGAGUAAUUUUUAUUUGUUGGAUUUAGAAGUUGCAAUUUUGAUGUCUUGUCUUGUACUUCUGUUCAAAUUUACAGGUACUAGUGUUUGAGAUUUGAAUUUUAACUUUAGGUUAUGCAUGCUUGAAUCAUUGACCCUAAAGUACUCAUCAAUUUAUUGUGGGAGCAUUUAAUUUGUUGUGAGACUUGAGUUAAUUAAUUUGUUUGGAUUGUGAGUUAACUAAUUUAUUUGCAUGUUUUAGAUUGAUAUACAUAAAGAUCAUACUCACAGGCCAAGUUAGACGAGGUGCGGGUUGAGUUAGCUGACUCCUGGAUUCGUAUAUGUGAUUGUGAUUUAUUUGUGGUUAUGAAGUUAUAUUAUUGGUUCUUGUUUUUGUAAUGAUACAAAUAUUUCAUAGUAUGUAAAAAGUUUGGAAAUGUUUAUAUAUAUAUAUUAUGGUGAAGAAGUAUAUUUGAUGUAUAUCGUCAUUCAUUAUAUAGUUAAGAAACUGUUGUUCGAACAACUAUGCAGAACUAUGAGAGCACAAUACAGGAACAAAAAUUAUAAUUGAAUUACAUGUUUUUUUAACAAAAUUCGAACAUUUUACGGUUUUUAAAAAUCAUAAAAAAGUACAUCCUUGAUGGUUUUAAAACAUCAUAAACAACUACAUUCUUGACAGUUUUUAAAUGUCAUGAAUUUUCAUACUCAUAACGGCUUUAAACUGUCAUGAGCACUUAUACUCUUGACGGUUUUUCACUGUCAUGAAAAUUAGUAUACUUGACGUUUACAAAAUGUCAAUGUUCCUUAAUCUUGACGUUUUUAUCAACCGUCAAGAACUUUAACUUUCUUGACGCUGGCUUCAAUGACAUUUUAAAACCGUCAAGAAUGGUGAUUCUUGACUGUUUAAAAACGUCAAGAGAAUCUAUUUUUGUAGUAGUGUGAACUACCAAAUGUGAUUUUUCACCUCAAGAAUUCUAGAAAAUGGGAUUUCCAAAUUUUCUAGAUUCAGUCGUAACAUGUUGUUUAAGAAAAACAAUAUAAGUUAUUAGAAAAGAUUGAUUAGAAAACUUUAUGAAAUCAUAGAUUAAACGUUUGAGAAAACAUAAAAAAUUAUAACUUUAAAGAAAUUUUUUUCUAAAUGAUUAAAAAGAGUCUUUAUUUUAAAACAUAGAAAUGAUUUAAAAUUGGAAGAAUUUUAAAACAUUCAAAAUUUUAUUUAGAAAGAAUUGAAAUUUUAAAUAGAAAACAAAACAAGGUUUAAUAUAAAAAUUAGAUAAGUAAAAUCAGACUAAACAAGCAUCAUAGUAAAUUAUAUAAACACAAAAUAACAUAGAGAUUUAAUUUUCAUAAAAAUGUAUUGGAGAUCAAUCCCGAACUCCAAAGAAUCGACUCCUCACCUCAAGAACUUUAAAAAACUAGACUCCAAAACUUCCUAGAUUUUUUCGACAAAUGUUUUUUUAAAGAAAAAUUAAUUGAAAAUAUUAGAAAAAAUUAAACAACUAUUACCAAGAAUAUAUUAAAUGAAUCAUAAAACAACAUACAAACAUUUAAAUAAACAUAUGUGUUAAGAUAAACAAUAAUCUAUAAGUAAAAUAAAUUAUGAAACAAAAUUACUAGAAAAAAAAGAAGAAGAAGAAGAAAUAAGAACAAAUAAUGAGUAAAAAAUAAUAAACAAGAUAUAAAAUAAUGUAUAUAAACAAAUAAAUUUGUUAUAAGAAAGAAAAAAAAUGUAGGAAUAAGAUAAUAAAGAAGUAAUUAUAUGAGAAGAAAAAUGGAGAAAUAAGAACUAGAAAAAUAAACAAAUAUGGAUGAAAAAUAUAAUAUUAAAUAGCUUCUAGAAAUGAGAAAAUACUAGAGACAAUAAUAAAGGCUUUCGAGAGAGAGAAAAAAAAUUAAAUAUAAAAUGCUAAAUAUAAGAAAUGAAAGAUAAAUAUAUAAAGAAUAAAGUAACAAAGGAAAUAAAUAAUAAUGAAAAAAGAUAAACAAAAAAAUGUAAAUCAAAUUUGUAAUAAUAAUAAUAAUAAAAUAUAUAUAUAUAUAUAAAAGAGAAGUUCACGAGAUAAUAAAAAGAAAGAGAAAGAAAAGCAGAAAAAUAAGAACACGAAUAAUAAGUAAAUAUUUUAAUCACUUAGUCUUUCUUUUUUUUCUUUGCACUUUGUUUUUUAUGGAAGCUUGAAAAAGGACAAAUAAAAUAAUGAGAAUAGUAAAAAUAAUAAAAAAACUUUGAAGGAAAAUAAACAAAAUAAUAAGAAAAAGAAAAAUAAAGAAAAUAAAAAAAGAAUCUCAAAACACUAAACUAACUCAUUCGUUUUGAAGUGUGGAUCGUCAGGACUAAAACUCUAUCAUACACCUCCAACUAAAUUAGAGUUUUUCUGGUGUGAUGGAUUUUUGGUAUUGUAUAGAGCCUCUUUUAAAAAAAUAGAAAAAUUUUAGGAGUUGCUAGAAGAAAAAAUAAAAUGAAUGUUGUAGAUCUUAUGUAUUUUGUAAGAAGAGAUGAAGGUUAAUAGAGGUUAGAGGUUAAUAGAGGUUAGAGGUUAAAUAACAUUUUUUUUUUACAAAUUUGGUUAACCACAACAUAAAAAAAUAGCCCAAUUAAGGCCAACCACCUAAUUUUGUCCGACAUUAUUUAAAAUUAAUUCAAUUGCUAAAUUAAUUUUUGCUUCAAUAGUAGUUUAUUUUUUUUCUUAAUAUUUGCAAUUAAUUUUCUUUAAAAAAAAAACAUACAUACAACAAAAUAUAGGAAAUUUGAGAGUCUGAUCUUCUAAAAUUCUUGAGAUGUGAAAAUCGAUUCUUCAGUGGUCCGAUCCAUCUCUAAUAUGUUUUUGUUAAAAUCUCAUCCAUCUCUAAUAUGUUUUUAUUAAAAUCUCAAUAUGUUUUUAUAUUCGCUUGAUUUGUUAAUGCUUGUUUUGUAAGUUUUAUUUGGAUUUCUAUUUAAAAUGUAUAUAUCUUUCUAAUUAAAUAUUUAAAUAUUUUAAAUUUCAUCUAAUUUUAAAUUUUCUAAGUUUUAAGAUCCUACACAAUUUUAAAAUAAUAAUCAAAAGUUAUAAUAUUUUUUUAAUAUUUUCAAACAUUCAAAAUUUAAUUCAUCAUUUGGUAAGGUUUCCUAAUAACUUAUAUUGUUUUUCUUAAACAAAAUUGUACGGUAUCUAUAAAAUUUGAGAGUGAUUUUUUAGGUAUCUAUAAAAUUUGAGAAUAUGAUUUUUUAAAAUUCUUGAGGUGAUUGAUCACAUAUUUGUAAAUCUAAGAUUUGAUCCCAAGAAAAAUGAUUUUAAUCAAUGUUCUUUUUUAAAAAAACGUCUUUUCCAUAAGGUUAUUCCGUAGAAUGGAUAUUCACGAAUUGUACCAAUUUCUCACGUUUUUUUAGAUGAGUAUAAAAAAUCUGAUUUUAAUUCUCUUUAUUAUCUUUUCAAAUAAUGAGUAUAAAAAAUCCUACAAUAAAAUUGUACCAAUCUCUUUAUUACUUUUUAUUUAUUUAUCUAUUAUUGUUGUUAUUAUUAUUAUUACUACUAUGUUUUUUCUUUUUUAUUUAUUAUUGCGUUAUGAGCCGCCACACCUCUCUUUUCUUUUUGUUAUUGUUUUCCCUCUUUUUCUUAUUUUUUCUUUAUUUCUUUUCUUUCCUUUUUUUGUCUUUUGUUGUCAACUUUUUUCUUUCUUAUUUUAAAUUAUUUUCGUUGCAAACAUAAUUAUCAUAAAUCUUAAAUUCAUGAAUAUUUUAUUUACACUUUGCAUUUAAUUUAUCUUAAUAAUAUUACCAUGUUAUUUAUAUUAAUUAAUUAAUUUUUUUUCUUAUACCAUAUUUAUUUUUACAUUUUAUCCUUCCUAAAAAGUUCUGACGAUAAAAUUAGAAAUAUGUGGAAGUCCGUUAUUUCUAAAUUCUUGAGAUGAGGAAAUCGGUUCUUUUGGAAGUCCAAGAUUGAUUUCCAAUAUUUUUCAAAAAAAUAAAAUCUUAUCUUAUUUUCUUAAUUUGUGUGAUAAAUUUGAUUUUAUUGUGCAUUAAUCAUCUCGAAUAAUAUUUUUUAAAUUAAUCAUCUUAUCUCUGUUUUUUUCUAACCUUCAACAAUCAAACCUAUUUAUGUUUUAGGUCUUUAACGAUGAACAAGGGUUGAAUCAAACUUAGAAAUAAAAUGUCGGUUGAGUAUAGAGAGAGGGAGUGUCCCAAUUUUAGAGAUCGCAAAGUUUCACGUCGAUGAUUACGAAUGAACAAGGUGUCCAUGCAAGAUAUGUAUGAACUCAAUUUGGAAAUCAUUAGAGGGUGUGAAGCGACAUCUAUUAACAAUUAGAAUAUUCCCCUCCUAUAUAGAUUAAGUGUAUCAUGGAGAGUCAGUGAACUUGCAUAAGGUAUAAAAAUAUUUGAUGAAGCAACUAGCACUGACCCUUUUAAAAAAAAUAAAAUGUUGGCAUGCUUAAUUAUUUACAAAUUCCAAUUGAAUAUGAAGAAGCAAUAGAAGAAGGUUUGGAUAAUGAAAUGUUGUAUUUAAUAUUGGUGUAGAAGAAGAGACAACAAACAUAUUUAAGGAGUUAUUGAAUAAAGCAGGUGAACUAUACCCUACUUGUUCAUAAUUGUAACAACGCCCCAAAAUUUAGGCAAUUUUAAUUUAAUUAUCUUAAUUUUAUUUAAUUAUAUGUUUGAGUUUAUUGGGUAUUAUUUUGAUUUAUUUGAAAGAGAAUUAUUUAGUUAUGUUGAAAUUGGAAUUUACUAAAUAUUUGUUUAAGUGAAUAUUUAAUUAAUGAGUGGAUUUGAGUUUUAGUUGAAUUAUGGUUAAUUAUAUAUAUAAAUAUAUAAUUAUUAUGAAAAAGGGAACUUUUUCUAAUUAAAUAAUGUGAUUUUAGGAACUAAUGCCAAAAAUAUGGUUGGGGCAAAACUAUAGAAAAAAUAUGGUAGUUUUGGGUUCCAUCCUUUCUUUUUCAUUAUUUAGUUUUGUAUAAUAUAUAGAUUUAGGAUAUGGAAUGUGAUUUAGUUUUGGAUUGUUGGUGAAAUGUGAUUUUAAUUAUUUGGUUGUGUAUAAAUAACUAAUAUGAAAAAGUAAAGUUAAUUAUAUGAUAUAUAUAACUAUAAUUGUUUGUUGGAAAAUAAGAUAAUUAAUGAGGAGAGAAUUAAUAUGAAGUAAAAGUUUAAAUAAAGAUAUAUGUUUAUUUUAUAUUUUGGGGAGAGAAUAAUAAUAAUAAUAUAUUUUGUUAUUAUUAUUGGUUAUAAAUGCGUAAGAUUUUGUGCAAUUAAGAAAUUGAUUGAAAAAGAGAAUGAAAAUUAAAAAAAAAAUAUUUAUAUAUCCUAAAAGAAAAAUGAAAUAAUAAUAAUAAAUAUUAUUAUUAUUUGACCGUUUAUAAAUAUUGGAAUGCUUAAAUUGAAAAGAAAAGCUUCUUCAUCUUGUUUACUAAGGUAACCUUUGACAGCUGUCUCACCAAUUUUGGUUAAAAUUGGUGACUUACGUGAGUGCUUUCGAUUUUUAGUGUGAAAUUUUAAUACUCAUUAAAUGUUAAUUAAUUGAGAUUCUAAACAAAGUUAUUAUUGGAAUUGAUUUUGAUUGAUUGUCUUUAGAAGGUCUCUUUUGCAAAUUUUGAAGAUUUAAAUGAUUAAUUUUUCUCAUCAAAGUUGAAUUGAGUUCAACCUCAAUUUUUAGAUCGAAUUAAUUGGAGAAUUUUACUGUCAACAAGGGAAUAUUUUGUUUAGCUAAUCUCUUAGGUAAGAGAUUCUCUACUAAUAGAUCUUCAAACAUAAAACUAAAAGCUUAUAUGUAUUUUCUAUUAUGCAUUGAUGUACCUAAUAUGUAUAAUGUGUUGAUGACUGAAGUUUAUUAAAUUUAAUAUCGAAUCAGAACUCAAAAACAUACCACAAUAUAAAAAAAAAAAUUAAGGAUAAUAAUUGAUAAAAAAAGAGGAAAAAAACACAAUCUCCUAACACACUGCUCCUAUGUCCUGACGUUUUAGAAAAUGCGUCAAGAAUCGAUCUCCCAUUGCAGUGUCAAGAAAACCUUUACUCCCAACAUUUUUAGAAGCACGUUGAGAAAACAGUACUCCUGACGUUCUUUAUUCCAAUGUCGGGAGUAACGAAUUCCUGACACCUAAAUGAAUUGGCGUCGGGAACUCUUCCCUAGUCACGUGUAUUGACAGAUAUUCAUGCAUUGGAGGAUCCUUUCUCGACGUAUUUGGGUCCAUUUUCGGACGUGGUAAUGCAUCAGAAGAUCUACUAUUUCUUGAGUGAGAUGUGUUCAAAGGGACAUACACUUUAAUCAAAUGGAGGUUAUGAUAAUUGUUGUUUUCAUCCCACAUCUACCAUUGAACAAGAACUCUUAAAAGUUUAGGGUUCAUGAGAAUAGAUUGUUCAAUUGAUAGGAUGAAUACAUAUUGGGUUUGAGUUAAAAAUUCAAAUUUUAAAAUUAAACUAAAAUCUAGUAUGAAAACUAAUUUUAAUUUUCAAAUUAUCAAGGAUGAAGAGAUUCAACAAAUAAAAAAUAAUAAUAAAGUUAGUUUAAAAUUUUAAAAAAAAAAUGUUGUUAAAAUUUCCAUUAACCAAAUUGUUAAGUCCCAAGAUAUUAGAAAGAAGUUAUGAUAGAGGUGGCUGUAUCUGUGACACGUCAAAAUUAAUUGCAGAUUCAUAAAUGCAUAACACAAAUUAAUUACAAUAAAGAAACAUCUGGUAAGGGAGCAGAUAUUGAAAUAAUUACUAUCCGUGAAUGUGGAUAUUUUGAUAUUUUUUAAAAUAGCAUUUACGUGCCACACGUCCAUUUUGCUAAAAAAAAAUGGAUUUUGCCAUUUUUCAAAAUGAGUUGGCCCAAAAACAUCGUUAUAUCUUUUAUUAAUUCUUUAUUAUUAUUAUAUUUUAUGAAUUUAAACGUAGACUUAAACUUUGCCUAGAAUGUUUUUGAAAUGCUUUCUAUUACUAUUUUGCAUGAAUUUGAACAUAGACUUUUACAUAACUCAUGUUUUAUGUAUGUGAAGGUAAAUACUUUGGAUUUUAUCUAGAAUGAUUGUUGUUCGUUUUUCAUUAUACUUUUUUUUUUAAAAUGAAACAUAUUUAGGAGAUUUACAUAACUUUUAGCGGAAAAGGAAAUAAUGAAAAAUAGUCUAAAUUAUGUAAAAAAAAAAAAAAAAAAGCAACCCAAUGACCCAACCCGACCUAACUCGAAAAUUACAAGUUAGAUUGGGUUUAUCCUUGAAACAUUGAACUGAUAGGGUUCAAUUUUUGCUUACCCGAGAACUUCGGAUUGGUCCAUAAUAUUAUCUCCAAUCCAACCCAACUCUACUCAUGUACACCCCUAAUCCCCAGUCCUUGAACCAAAUUUUGUAAUCGAUGGGCCUGAUAUUCUUGACCAUGCAAUCCAAAUACGUCAUCUUUUAAUUGUCUUAAAGGCUUUUAAAUGUGAAAAUUGUUCCCCAGACUUACACGAAUAAUUUGAGCAUCAAUAUGCUUUGUCAUUCACUUACAUGCAUCCUAGGAAAGUGUUUGCAAGAGGUCACCUAGAAUAUGUUGCAAACUUAAACAUGCUUAACUUUAGAAUUAUAUAAUUGAACCCCUUCCAAAGUGAGAGCAUUGCAGAGAAUGGUAAGAGAAAAAUUAUGUUUGAAGGUUUGAAGAACACACCUCAAAAACAAUGCCAAAGUCGUUUAGCAGUGAGCCGCUUUGUUUUUGUCAUGAGGCCAAAGACAAAAGUUUGUAGAAUUAACAGAGUAAAAUAUAUCCUCAAUCAUGAGAAAAUGCCAACCUCAACGAAAGAAUACAAAAUUUUGAAGAGCCCCAGUUAAUAUCCCUAUUAAUCAGCUUAAUAAACUCAAUGACAAACUCCUACACAGCUUAGUAUACAACACUUUUAAUUUCAAAGGAUUGUAACUCAAAAAAAUUCACCAUUUGACUCAUUUUCUAGUGAUAACAUAGACAACUGCCUAAUAUUAUUGUAUUUGCAUUUAACAACAACUACUUUAACUUUUGUUCUUUAGAAAUUCUUCCAAAUUUUAAGUUUUAUUAUUUAUGAAGACAUUUUUCUUUCUCUAUUGAACAUUAAUUCAUCCAUGAAAAGUAAUGUAAGGUGGAAUAAAUUAAAUUAAAACUAACAACUGAAAUGAAAAUCAAAGUAAAAUAUCUAUUUAGCAAAUAUGCAUAUAUAUUAUGGGAAAUUGGAUUGGGUAGAAAUAUAUAUUAUCGCACAGAUUUUUCAAAUAUCGUAAAUAUACCAAAUUUUAAUUCUUACCAUAUGUCGAAGAUAUUUUCUAUUUUAAAUUUUUUAUUAUUUCCAAAACUGCCCCCACACAUUCUUCUCUCUCGAUUGCAUCAUCUCCCUUUAAUGCUUUCUCUUCCACUUUCUCUGCUUAUUUGUAAAUCUUCAUAUCAUACAUAAAUUCAUAAUGAAAAAUUAAUCUAAUAUGAAAAGUACUUGGUUCAUAUACACCAUUUUUUUAUUCAUUGGUUUUCUGUAGGUUACUCUCAAACAUAAAAAUAAUAAUGAAAAAUAAUUAUUAGUUCAUUCAAUCUUUGUUUUCAACAUCUUCAUCUCCUUCUUCAUCUUCUUAUUCUUCACAAUUUUUUAAUUUAAAUUUUCGAUCAUCAUUUUUCUUUCUUCAAAUUUGUUUGUAAGUGGUUGCUUUUCAACACGACAAAACUCUCACUUUUUAAAAUGUUUUCUAUCUUAAAUUUACUAUUAUUUUCAAACUACCCUUCAAUCACUUUUUCCUUUUUCUUCUUUUUAACGCUCUAAUCAUCUCAUAUUUCUUUUCCUACUUUUUAAUAUCAUAAUCAUUCUUUUUUUUUCCACUUUGUGUCAGUUUUGUAUAACAACUAAUGUUGUGAUGUACUUAUAUUAUAUGUAUUAGUUGGUUGAUAUACUUAUUACGUGAUUUUCAUUUUUUAAAAUUUUAUGCAGUUUAUGGUAGUAUUAUUAAGUAUAUAAAUGAUAUAACUUAGUGUAUCAUAUAUAUAAUAUGUGUCAAAGUGUGCUGGUGUAGUGUAUUAAGUGUAUAUAUUUAAUCAAUUGAGUGUAUCAGUAAACAUAGAAAAUGUACCAAUAGUGUACAUCAAUGGUAUCAAACAUAUGAACUGCAUUAGUGUAUUAAAUAUGUUGAGUAUAUUAGUGAAGUAUAAAUUAUUUAUUAGUAAUGUAUUAAGUGUACAAAAACAAACCAUAACAAAUGUAUUAAAAAUAAUACAUCAAACAUAUCAACAUAUCAUGCUUAAGUGCAUCAAGUAUAUUUAAUUGAUUGAGUAUAUUCUGCUAUAUAUGCCACAGUUGUGUGUAUAUAUAUAUAUUAUAUUUUAUAAAAAUGAUCAUGUGUGCAACAUUUAAAAAUAUUGAACAAAAGAUGUAUAGAUCCAAAAUUUGAAUAUAACAAAAGAUAUAGUAGUAGGUGUAGAAUAUAAUGUAGGGUUGGAGUUCACCAGUUUCGAGGACAUUCCUUAGCCAUUGUCUUCUAUUUGUCUUCCUCCCAUUAUUUUAUUAACCCACUUAGAUCUUGCACCAUAUUUUUUUAUAUUAUUAUGUUACUAUAUUAUUCUAAUUUCAUCUGUGAAUUAUUGCACAAAUAUAUAUUUACUAUUAGUACCUAAAACAUAUGCUUACAUACCAAACCCAAACAUAUAAUGGUCAUUCUAAGGUUAAAGGAGUUGUUUUUUAAAAAUCUAAUUCAAUGGGUUAAAAUAUAUAUUAUAUAUAAAAUAAAAUUAAAAUUAUAUCUACAAAAAUGAUUUUUUUAAAGAGGAACAUAGGUCAUCUAAGAGUAAGAGCUUAAAUGCAUGUUUGAUAGUCAUUUGAUUUUUUUAUUUUUUACUUUUGAAAAUUAAACUUAUAAGAUCUAUCUUUUAUCAUAAACUUCUAAAAACUUCUUCUUUUCUUAUAUACAUUUUAUCAAUGUUUUUCUUUUAAAAUCAAGAAAAAUUUUGAAAAUUUUAAAAGGGAACUGUUUUUAAAAACUUGUUUUCGUUUUUACAAUGGGUCAAAUAUAACCAACUCCCCUCCUUAAAAUAAGUUGCAGAAAAAUGAAAAGUGAAAGAGAAAUUAUUACCCCAAGUCCAUAAUUUGAAUUAAAAAAUUUAAUCUCUUGGAAGACCACUACUUUGAUCUUUUUCCUCUUCAAAUUUCUGCCAAUUCAUACUUAUUACCUACGACCUUCAUCACUAGCUAAUUAAUGCUAAUUUUCACCCAUUGUUGAGAGACUAAAUUAAUUAGAACACAUAUUAAAGGUAUAAAUUUUAAUAACUUCCAACAAUAUAUCAGGAAAUAAAUAUAUUUAGAAACCAACAAAACAUAGUAUAUAAUAUAUAGAACACCCUAAAUAAACUAAAUAAUAAUAAUAAAAAAAAAACCCCAAAAAUCUUCAACCUUCUCAAUUUUAUCUCCAAAAGAAAAAACCUCAUCAAAUUUAAUGACCUGGAAAAACAGCCCAUCAGCUUUAUGAUGCUAUAACUUUAUAGAAAAGUAAAGGCCAAAGAAUAUAAUUAUUAUAUAUAAAAAUUAAUGAAGAGAAGAAGUACUUCUCUGUAAAGUACUAUUUGCGCCUAGAUCAUAAACAAUUCAACAAAUUUCCUUCAAAUCUUUCCACCCCAUUUGAGAAUUCGAAGAAAUUAAAAGAGAGAAAGAGUAAGAAAUCUAAAGGGUUUUUAGCUAAUUAGGGUUUUGUUUGGAUUAAUAUAUAUAUGACAAAGUGUGGAUAGAAAGCAACACAAAAGUAAAGUUGUUCUCUUUCUUUCUCUCUUUUUCUUUUUUCCUUUUUCUUUUUCUCAAAAUAUAUUUUUUUCAGGUGGGUUUGAUUCUCUUGAAAGCAUAAACUAAAAAAAAGGUGAUAUAUUUUUGUAGAGAGAAUUUUUUGUUGAGGAAAAUGAUGGGUGGAAACCCUAGUAAUUGGUGGAAUAUGUUUCCACCAAAUUCUCCUCAAUGUGUUCUUGGAUCAUCUUCAUCACUUCCUUUGAGUUCCAUGGCUGAUCAUCAUCAUAAUCAAGACCCUAAUUCACAAUCAUGGAGUCAAUUACUUUUGUAAAGAUUUCAAAUUUCCCACCUCUAUUUAAUCAAUUUGUUAUUCUCUAUUUUUUUUAAAUGAAAGUUUAAAUUUUGUGUCUUUUCUUUCAGAGGUGGAUUGCACGAAGAGGAUGUUGCUGAUGAAGAUAAGUUGGCUUUGAAUAAUAAUUUUCAACAACAAAAAAAGUUGGAAAAUUUGGAAGGGAGAAUAUUGAUUCCAUUUUCAAGAUUUGGAGUUGGUGAUCAUCAUCAUCAUCAAGAUCAUAAUAAUAAUAAUCUUGAUCAGAUGAAACAAGAAAUUACUUGCUCACAAAAUAGUAAGAGUUUGGAUUUUUAUGGAACAAUAAUGAAAAAGAACUAUCAUCACCUUCUUCAUCUUCUUCUUCUUCAUCAGCUAAGCUCUCUCAAAUGACCAGGCCACUUACUAUUUCUUCUUCUCCCAAUUCUUCUAUCAAUAACAAUAAUGCUUUACUGGAUUUCUCUUUCAACAAAGUUGAUUCCAAAAAUCAAAUCCUU
rnacentral:lncRNA from 1 species